rnacentral:lncRNA from 1 species
CAAAAUUCGUCCAUUGUGGACACGACUAAAACUUUCCUAAAGAUAAAAACAAAAUGGCAGACUCUUACCAUAUCUCUAAUUCAAACUGACAUUAAAAUCCUAAUUAAUACAUACAAUUGCCUUAAAUGAGCUCUAUCUCUGUAUGUCAAUGAUGGUUAUCUUAAUUGAGGACCAAACCGAGCCUCAAGUUGUAUCGGCUGCUUUCCAUAUUGUCUCACUCAAACCCUGACUCUGUUGAACCUAGUUCAUGGCUUACCAAAUUUAGUCGUUAACAGUUGUCAGCCGAUGCGUAAUCUAUUUUGGUAAGAUCCAAUCUCCUUGAAAUCCGCUUCGAUAUCCAACUCCAAAUCCGAGUCUAACUUGCCAAAUUUCACUGUUAAGACAUGAAUUCUCUCCAAUGUUUUGCCACUGGAUGACAGUCUCUUUAACAUCAUCUCAUUUAUCUUGGUUUGGCAAUAGACAUGAUCUUUCAAGGAGGGUUAAUUGGGAUUGAAGUUAUCAUUGUUGCCUCCUUGAUAGUAUGAGCAUGGUUGAUUCCACCCCUAGACUCCUUGUGAACGGUACCCGUUGUUGUUGUUUAUGAAGAAGACAUCUUCACAGGUCUUGGGGCAAUCAUUCCUCGACUGUCCAGUAUUGUGGUAGGUCUCACACGUCAUACAGACGUCCAAGACCUGGACUAUACCGUACAUUUUCGACUUGUGUCGAGCGCGUUCAUCCAAGCGCUUUAGGGGGAGGUCCAUCUAAGAAGCGAGCAUGUUUGUCUCCUUAACGGUGUGCAUGCCCCGUUGACAAGAUUGGAGUCGACCUUCACUCCAUCCUUGAUUGGAGACCAUCUUCUCAAUUAGUUCUAAUGCACGAGCGAUAGUAAGUGAGAAGAAGGCUCCUUCAGUAGCAGCGACAAUAUGGUCACGGGCUGACUGCAUCAAUCCGUUUAGAAGUUCUAGAUGAUAAGCCAAUUGUCCAUCCCAUGGUAAGGACAAGUCAUGGUGUAAUCUUGGAGCCUCUCCCAUGCCUCUGGCAUCGGCUCAUUGUUGGCUUGCUGGAAACAUGAAAUUCUCCAACAAAGGGUGUUGGUUUUGCCCAUCAGAAAGAAGUUAGCUAGGAAAGCAAUUGAGCACCUCACCCAAGUGUCUAUGGCACCUCUCUUGGAGUAGAACCAUUGUUUUGCACUCCCGAGUAGAUGGAACAGAAACAGACAGAGCCUGAUGGCAAUAGUUUCAUAUAGCUCAAGGAAUUGCUAGAGUUGUACGUUCGUAUCCUCAUUGGCCUUCCCGUAGAACAGGAUGGCCUGCACCAUAGUGAUCAGACCAGUCUUGAUCUCAAAGUUUGCAUCCCAAGUAUGGAUGGUUGGCCCAACGUGCACAUUGGAAGAAGAGGGAGCCGACUACUCACGAAUGGUCUUCUGCGCCAUCAGCUACGAGUGAUCUGGUGCAAAGAAAACUGGUUCAGGUGCCAAGAGCCUAAUUUGCGAAGGAACGACACGAGGUCGGAUUCUUCUCGUAAGCUUCUCUGGAUUAUCAACGAAGUCUGUCGGCAGGUUAAAACUAGUGAUGCAUUACCUAUUUUCACAUAAAAGAGAAAAUACAUCGAGGUAAACAUGUUUGGACUAGGGUUUCAUUAAUCAUAAAAUGAUUAUAGACAUAUAAACUAUAUCUUAAAACCAGUGUCUUCCCUGGCAACAACGUGAGAAAUGCUUGUUGGUAUUUUUUAUGUUCGUAGAUAAAUUCGCAAGCGCACGGAUACUGCUGUAGCAUUUCACCCAUGUGUAUUUCCAAGGGCAUCGUAUUUAUAUUUCUGCAGGGAAAGCGGUGGCACAAAGAUAUGGUUUAUAUCUCUAUAAUCAAUCUAUAAUUUAUUUACCAUAGGAAAAAUAGGGGUUAGGAUAAUAAUUGAUAGGUAGUGAACACACAGGAGAUUCACCUCUAUAUGAAUAUCCAGAAGGAAAUUAGCUUUAGGAAACUACAAUACACAUGUACUUCUAUACUAAUCAUGUCUAUUAUACACUUAACAUACACAUGCUUACAACAUAGGACUUAGUUCCAGGCACCCAGGUACUACCGCCCUAUUGGUCUGCUAGCAUAGUUAUGACAUUUACACACUCUUACAUCAUACCCACCUACUGCCCACCUCACUUUCCGUGGGGCACACCCGCAUCCAACGAUAUUUAUCUAACCUAAGCAUCAUGCUUAUGCUAGUAAAUAAUAUCACUAACUCUCCCAGGACUCUCAUCCUACUGAUGAACAGCUUGAAGCUAGAGCAACCUAGCUAUAAAGGUCAUUGGACCGUUACCGUAGCAUGGAUCGACUAGCCUAGGAUGAUGUAGAUAUACAAAGUAUAUAAUGCUCAUAGAACAUAUAUUUAAUAAAGAAAUAUAUAAACCAUGAGCAUAAAUAAAUUAAGAAGAUAAUUAUGUUUAUUCAACUAUGGUCUUACAAGAAUAGUAAAGUGCUAAAGACAUACCCAAAACUCCGAGAAGACUAUUUGACUGAAGCUCCUAACCUUUAUUCCUACUAAAACUAUAGAGAAUACAAAGUGGAAGAGGAAAUUUGCUCCUUGUGGUGUGUGUUCUAAGUGAAGAGAGUGAACUCCUUAAAUAGGCUACUAGUGACGGUUAUAUGGCUGCUAAACACCCACAAACACCAUUGGGAGCCAAUGAGGAGUCAACACGUGGACGAUGGAGAUGUGGCACUGCUAUGACAGGUUUUGGCCGAACCCUCGGCAACGGCUCUCUCCACCACCUUUGGUAAGUGGCUGCCAGGUGGGCCCUUGGUCGAUUCCCGGGUGGUUGGCCCCACUUUAAGUCCGUUUGAGCUGACUUGUGAGCCUCUCAAUCUAUAGUGUGUUUCAUUGCAUGUUGGUUUCAUUUCUCCUUCACUUUGGUGUAUAAUUCCUACUUCCAAGCUAAUUCUCAAAUCCUAAUACAACUACAUUAUUUAUUAUUGGUAUAUGUGUAAGAAAUGCUAAUUUUCCCUUUAUUCAUAUGCUAGUUGUUGGUCGAGAUUGGUACUUAACGGUCGUCAACAUGCAUUAUUUAGUCUUCAUUGUGGCUCUCGAGAAGGCACACAAGAAGGGUCUAAAGGAGUGCGAUGAGUACAAAGGGUAGGACUAAUGCCUUUGAGGCCUUGAAGUGAGUAACCUAGCAUAGAGCGAAGGUUUUUUAACACAGCUGUGAGUUUGGAGGUCUCAUCAUCAAAAAGCUUCUCUCUUAUGAUGACUGGCAACUCCAUAUCACCAUGCAAGAAAGCAUAGUGAAUACCUGAAGGAAGAGAUUUGAGCUCAACUAGUGGUUGUGAAGGUGGAUCAGUUUUGGGUAACUCGAUCACCUAUCCAGGAUCAUCCUCUUCAUUGACGAAUGCAUUGGCAUCAUCGUGGAGGAGGGAUUCAGGGGAUUCAAAUGGAGAGAUAGCCAAUACUUGCUCGAUUCGCUCGGAAUCGGGAAUGGGUUACGCCAAAGAAUUUUUCGAUCGCUUGAUCAGGACGACAAAUGCUUUUGAGGUCUCUCACUUCGAUCAUGGCCUAUGAAAAUAUCGAAGUGAGAGACCUCAAAAACAUGGUAGUCCAGGAUUGCCUCGACAUCAUUGUGACGUACUAGCACUCCGCGAAGAAUCCCAUAACCUUCGAUGAUAGGACCAAAUGGGUGCCGAAAGGUUUUGCCUGUUGGUAUCAACGGUUCGUUCCCUAAGAAAUUUAAUGUAGCUUGAGGACAUAAUAUUCACACCAAGGGAAUUGUAAAGAGUUUGCACCAUGGCCUCCCUCAUGAGACCUGAGAUAGUUAAGGAUUGGAGCUAAUCUAAAUUACUUUAGAAGAAAGUUCCAGCCCCUUAACCACUCAUCACUUAUGAUGGUAGUUAAUCUUUUUGAAGAGAUUUUCCUCGAGUGGUGAAGGAGAACUAUACAAGACCGGUGGUCUCUUUUGGCAGGAAUAAUUUGAGGUGUUUCCAUAAUCUUCAAUAAUAUCACCAUCAAACUUGAACGGGAAUUCCAAAGAUUGAAUUUCUUUUACCUUCGGUUCCCGUGGUUCAGGUGAGGAUUCAACGUUCGAAUCAUGGGAUAUGGAGGUUGCAUACUCCGAUUCGGACGUUGAUUCCUCAUGUGUAUCCUCAAUUUCUAUGAUGGUUUCACAAUGAGCGAAGGAGGUGUUCUCCAAGAUGUGAUCCAAGAGUUUCCCUCCUUCAGACCUCGUUUUGUGUGCGAAUGAACCUCCGACGGAAAUAUUGAGAUACAUAGCAGACUCCUUGUCUAAACCUGAGUGGAAGUGUUGCAACAACACGUGAUCGGGUAGAGACAAGUCUUGGCCGUCUUGAGUUAACAAGGAGAAAACGAGCCCAAGCUGCACCAAUGGAUUCCUUUUGAUUCUACCGAACGUUGAGAACCUAUUUACGUAGAGAGAUUACAUGGGUUAACAGGAAGAAAACAAGGCAAAACUACAUUUUAAUUCCUCCUAUUCUCCAUGCAGUUUUCUCACGGUAUUGGUGUACCAUUGGUUCACCCCCUCUGUAAGAGAGAAGGGAAACAACUUCCACUUUAAGGUUUAUUGUGUUAUGCCCGCAAUUGUCAGGCAUGAACACAAUUGCUCAUACUCACAUAGAUGAUGGUAGGAGUUUUCUCUUUCGCGCCCCGAGAAGGGUUGUUCCCGAACUAUGGCUAUAAUGUUAGGAUGGAGUUCAUAGCCAGAUGAACGGAUAAGUUUUGUAGAAAAUGGUGCCUCACAGAACUCAGCCCUUGGAGCAUAAAGAUUUUGAAUAGAAAGGUGCUCCAUUGUUGGUAAGAAGACAAAGGAACAAGAGAAAAGAAAAGAUACGAGGACGAAUCAGGUUCGAACAUGAUACAACAUCCAUUCCUCAGCAAAGAUGCCAUAAAUAAUUGUUAGUAUUUGAUGUGGCACGUGGUAACACAUGAGGAAGGUGUGUCUUGUGGGUAAAGAUGUGCACCUUUAAUCAGAGUAUAAUCUAUUCGAAUAGCCGCGCCCUCAGUUAUGAGCAAGCCUAGCAAUGUACCAAAGUUAGUGGUUUAAUUCCUAAAACUUGCUUAACAACUAAAAUGUGGAAUGGUUGGCUUGGGUUGGCUUGGGACGAGCUGGGACCGGUUUAGGUUGCUAGUUCGGUCUAACUCGUUAUAGUCCUUGGGUUAAGGUAGGUUCAUGUGGGUUCACGGCCUUCAUUAAUAAUAUUGUGUAGUUCUAGGAUCGUGUUUACCAAAAUAACUUUGGGCAACUAAGUGUUUUAAAUAUUGUUUUCUGCAAAACAUAACCCAUAUGAUUACUCCUUUGUACUCACUUGGCAUUUAUUGUGCAUUUAUCGGUGUGACUUGUUGAGUACUGUGGUUGCACUCAAUCUUGCUCUAUUUUUCCCCAAACCAGAAAAGGAGUUCCUGGAGGAUGAAGGUUUUGGUGUCUAGCUCAUGCCUGCUGUCAAGCGCCUGUGGUAUUUGCCCUAGUCUUCCGCUUUUGUUCAUUUAUCUCUGAGUGUUGGGCCUUUGGUCGCUCUUGUAAUAUAAGUACUAUUUACACUUCCGCUUGUUAAAACUCUGAUUUGAACUUUGGUGUACCUUGCCUCCUGGGACAAGGAUUAAUACACUCACGUAUGGAAUGUCUAUUGGGUUAUUUCCGGUCGUGACAUUUGGUCUGGCUAGAUUGAAAGGAAGAAGCUCAAGAAAUUUUGGUCUAGCUAGAUUAAAUGGGAAGAAGCUCAAGAAGGAAAAAAAACAUAGUGCAUUGAAAAUGUAUUGCAAGCAACAACUGAAGCACAUUAAGUGGGACCACAUGCAGCAGGCGCUAGAGGUCUAGGACGUCCGAUUUUUAUCUGAGCAUGUGUGAGGGGACACGCAGCGUGGCAUAUGGGCGUCCAUUCAUUUGCAGCUUAAUAAAUAUUGAUGACAGUUGUGUUGGCUUCUUCUUGGCAGAUGCUUUGCUCCAAACACCAGGAAUUCAUAUGUAGUUGUCAAACGAGUUGUGCAUGCAUACCACAUAUAACCUCCCCUAGUGCUAUACUUGGCAGCAAUAAAUGUUCAAUUUGCUAGAUAUGCAUGCCAAUAUGUUGCUGGCAAAUAUUAAGUAGGUGAUAUCACUACAGCUUCUCCCUUUUGUCUCUUGUGGAUGGAAAGUAGUCAAACUGUGCGUUACACCUCGCUGGUUUUCAAAUAUAUAUACCACCUUCACAUAGCAGGGUUGAAUCACCCCCACAAAGCAAAUCAAGCUACAACAAAGAUCUUGGCAUCUCGCCCUUGGUCACUAUAGCUAGGUAGGUAGGUAGGUAGGUAGGUAGCGAGAGAUGUCCAUGGAGAACGGCGACUCCAGAUUUGUUAGGGAUUUGGUGUCGCCGAUGCCUGGACCGCCGCUACUGCCGACGCAACAAGCGCUGAGGGCACUGUCAUCUUUGCAGAUUAUCCAGGGGCUUAGAGUGGCAUCGCCAGAGCGGUUGCCACAACCAUCAAGCGGCCAGCGUCGUAUCUUGCCGAUGGCCCCACAGGCACGACGGUGGCGUGCUGAUGGCAGCACAACUAUGUCUGUGGCAUCGUUGCCGCUAAACCAGGUCCGUGCUAUUGGGUUGUUUCUCAAUACCUUCUUGGUGGCCACAAUGAGGCGCCAGGAGGGGCCCCUUUACCACAAUGCUAUUGUAAUCCCUACGAUAGCACCGGCACCGGCGCCGGCACCGCCGACCACCCAGAUGCUCGCCAUGGAGAACACUAUGCCAGCUACCGUGGAACCGGUUACCAACCACAGGAUCAUCAACCAUGAUAUCAUGCAUUUCAUGAGGGAAACUCCAGAUAUCCAGAGGCUCCACGGCGUUGUUUCACCUGUGGCGGUCCAUGGUAACGGGAAUCCCCUUUCAUGCAUCUAUUGUGGGCUGGUGUUUGCCCUCAGGUCAUCGGAAAUCCCGGGGUUCCUCCCUCCUCCUGGAUUUAGCUACCCAGAACCCAUGGGACCACCACCAUUACUGUCAUUGUUUCCACCAGCAAGAGAUGCUUCUCGGAUAGCAGCGGUGUGCUCAGACCCACAUCAUUUUGCUGUCACCAUGCAAUAUAUGCCCAAGCAGGAAAUGGCUGAUCUCAUUUGGUCAUCCGAGAUACCAAGCAUCCACAUUCCGUCAGCUGCAGGUGGCCAGCAUGUUGGAACGGUGCCGUCUCUGACCGGUAUCACUAGUGCCACCACAUCAAUGGUGAACCUCAUGCAGAUGCCGGCUAUCCACAUGGAGCAGCACAUGCUACAUCCAACCAUGUUAAACUCAUCUGCUUCUCCGGAAUGUAUCACUAGCACUGCCGUACCAUCAACGCUGAACAUGAUGCCAAUGCGGGAUAUCCUCAUAGAUCAGCUUUCACUGCCUCCUGCCAUAUCUAGCUCAUCUGCUUCUGGUGUUCUCUGUGAGUACGUGAUGCCUGAGCACGAGGACAUGGUCCGCCUCACCUUGGGUCAGUCAUCCACCAUGGACCUAGAUCUUAGCUUCUAGGCCUCUAGGAGGAGCAUCAAGUUUGAAGAUGUUGGAAGAGCAUAGAUUUUAAGAGUGUUGUUUCUGUUCUUUGGAGGUACUGAAAGGUACAAGAUUAGCUUUGUACCUCUCUGUACCUUUCCAAAGUCUCUAGAUAAACUUAGCAUUGGGUGGAACAUUUAGUGUGGUGUCCAAUAAUGGUCAAAUCAUUAUGAGUUAAAUUUCCUUUUUAUUUGUUGCUUGCUUGUAUCUAGCUUAAAAAUUGGCUUGUGUGCAUCCAUGAUGCAGAUGCCAUUGCAGUUGUAAUGUUACCUUUUCUUCAUCAAAAUUACUGAGUUAAGAUUGGCUAGUACACCCACGCGUUAGCUGGAGCUCAGUUACCUUUUUUACCAGUAGGGCCUUAACGUUCUUCUGUAUUGAGAUACCCAUAAUCUACCUUAUAAUUCACCAACUGUGUCUUACAUCCUCAUUCCUCAUGGAUCGGUCAAGAUCGCCCCAAUCAAAUCCAACGCCCACGUUAUUCCCACCUCCCCCAUACUCUCUCUCCCACAAACCCCACCACUGUACGGAUCUCCCCUCUAUCUGCUUCCCAUCAGUUUCCUCACACGCAAUCUCAGCUCCCUCUCUCCCAAGCUCAACCGCCGCAGCCUCACCACCGCCGCCGCAUCAACUCGCUGCCAGUGACCAACGUUACACCAGGGUCAUCGCCCUUGCCUCGCCUGCUCCGAUCUCCUCCGCGUCGCGAUAACUCCGUCGCCUCUCUCACCGGUCUGCUCCGCCCACGCCUAUCUCUCUCGUCGGCGUCAACAACGUCGUCGAUCUCCUCCGCGCACAAACAAGUUUAGUGUUGGGAUAAUUUUUCUUUUUGCAACGUUUACUAACAUGAUGGUUACUGCGAUUCAGUUAAUUAAUCACUUGUGAUGUAUCAGUUUCUUAAUUAUUUAUUCACCUUUUGAAUUAUGGAGUAUAAUGAUUUCGCAGGCAUUACCAUGUAUUCUGCAGAAGACAGAAGCUUUAGUGACAACAUGAAUCCUACUGUAGGAUUCAAUAUUAGAAAGGUGGCCAAAGGUAAUGUCACAAUAAAAUUGUGGGAACUUGGAGGCCAGCCGGUAUUCCCAAGCAUGUGGGAGAGAGAUUGCUGUACUGUUUCGGCAAUUGAGUAAUUUAUUUUCCUGUCUAAUUACUAAUUUGAUGCAUGUGCAACAUGGCACUAUACUCAGUAGUAGUUGUCAUGCACUCAUGCUUAAUUGGCUGUUGGUUACAUACGCUAACCAAUUGUUUCGAAGACAUUUUGAUUAAUUUGACCUCUGCUGAAAUUAGGCAAAUUUCCAAAAGCACAUUUCAGUAGGCGAGACCAUAUCUGCCCUCCUAAUUUUGGCUGUAGAUUCAAACAGAAUGCUAAGUGGUCCUUUAUCUGCAACUUGAAUAAUUAUAUUAUCUUUUUAAUUAAUUUAAAAUCAUCCAGGAUUAUUGGGACAGGAACAUUCUGAUGUGGAACCAUUUUUCUAGAGGAGAAAGACUACACUGCAGAGGAUGUCAAAUUUAAGAACUCAACUGUUGGAAUUAAUGGAUGGGCCUUAGCCCACACGAAGAUUAAUUCUUUAGAAAAUCACAAAAGCCUACCUCCUGGGAUGGCAUGCAUGUGGAGUUUAGUACCACCUUGUUUAUUCUAGGAGAGAGGGACCUCCUUAAAAAGGAGGAUGCCCUCCUAGCCACUUGAAGCAUGUGUGGUGGAGAGAAGAGGGGGAACACACGGGCGCGCUCGCUCGCCUCGCCUGGCAGGGCAGGCGGCGCGCGCACGACGUACGCGUCGAAUGGUCCGCAAAAUUGGCUCCUCAUCCUUGCACAGAUGCAGCCUCCUUUUGUAGUUUUGUUUUGCUGCGGGAAAUUCAGAUUUGUUUUCUUUUGGAAACAUUCCGAAAAAUCCGAUGCGUGAAAAUGGUGUGGAGUCCGGAUAAGUUACACGCGACUUAUCCGGUUCGGUUAUGCGGAGUGGAGAUCGUGCGGCGCCCUGAUCAAGCGACCUAUCUCUAUAUAAACCGAGCCGCCGCUUACAUACAACACACGCGAAAUCAAUCUAAGGCGGCAAUAAGGUUUUUGGGAAGCGCUUCGCGCGACUGCUCCCUGUUCGUCCGCGACGGCUCGCCUUCCUCUUAGCUCGCAUGCUGCACGCCUUCGUCGAUGCCCGCAACCGCGAGUAGUUCCUGCCGAGCAACCGGUCUUUCCGCCACCUUGGUUCGUGUUCGACAUGUUGCGCAUAUUUGAUCUGUUCAUGUUUUACUGCUUAGUUUACAUGUGUGUAUCUAAUGAUGCGUUCAUGCUAGUUUACAUCUGCAAUGUUAUGAUUUAUUUAUGGAAUAAAUUAAAUCAUUAUGUGCUUAUAAUUUCAACAAUCCAAAAACCUUAUUAUAGGCACUGUGGUUUUACUAUGGUUGGUUUUGCCGAUGCACUGAGGCCGGAAAAAUUCACCGGUGUGCAAUUUAAGAGAUGGCAGAUCAGGGUCAUUCUGUGGCUGACAGCUUUGAAAUGCUUCUGGGUGAGUACUGGCAAGCCUAUGGGAGUUCUUAAUGCUGACCAGUAGAAAGAAUUCGAUGAGGCCACUACUCUCUUUGUGGGAUGCAUUCUUAGCGUGCUUGGCGAUCGUCUGGUCAAGGUGUAUAUGCAUAUGACCGACACUAAGGAGUUGUGGGAUGCACUGAAUACUAAAUUCGGUGCUACUGAUGCUAGCAAUGAUCUGUAUAUCAUGGAGCAGUUUCAUGACUACAAGAUGGUUGACAACCGUUCUAUAGUCGAACAGGCUCAUGAGAUACAUACCAUGGCUAAGGAACUCGAACUCCUUAAGUGUGUCUUACCCGAUAAAUUUGUGGCCGGGUGCAUUAUUGCGAAACUACCUCCAUCUUGGAGAGGUUUCGGUACUGCACUCAAACACAAGAGACAGGAAUACUCCGUUGAGGGGUUGAUAGCGUCUCUUGAUGUUAAGGAGAAAGCUCGGGAAAAAGAUGCCGCGUCUAAGGGCGAUGGUGGGCAGUCCACUGCCAAUGUUGUGCACAAGGCCCAGAACAAGAGCAAGGGGAAACACAAAGCUCAACAGACCACCAACUUCAAGAAGCAGAAGAAGAACAACAACAAUCCUAAUCUGGAUGAGAGGACUUGCUUUGUGUGUGGCCAACCUGGUCAUCUAGCCAGGAAGUGUCUACAACGCAAGGGGAUGAAGGCACCUGCAGGGCAGACUUCUAAGUCUGCUAAUGUGAGCAUUGGCAACACUGGAGAUGGAAGCGGGUAUGGUAAUUUACCUACUGUUUUUUCAGUUAAUCAGUCUACUAAUUGGUGGGUUGAUACUAGGGCCAAUGUACAUAUUUGUGCUGACAUCUCAUUGUUUUCUUCUUAUCAAGUCGCACGGGGUUCCACCGUCCUAAUGGGGAACGGGUCACAUGCUUCUGUUCAUGGUGUUAGCAUGGUAGAUCUGAAGUUUACUUCGGGAAAGAUCGUGCAGCUGAAGAACGUGUAGCAUGUCCCUUCUAUCGACAGGAAUCUUGUUAAUGGCUCCCGUCUGACUAGAGACGGAUUUAAGUUGGUUUUUGAGUCUAAUAAAGUAGUCGUGUCUAAACAUAGAUAUUUUAUUGGUAAAGGUUAUGAGUGCGGAGGCCUGUUCCGCUUUUCCCUUUCUGAUUUCUGCAAUAAGUCUGUAAACCAUAUUUGUGGCAGUGUGGAUGAUGAGGCUAAUGUUUGGCACUCACGUUUAUGUCAUAUUAAUUUUGGCUUGAUGUCUCGGCUUUCCAGCAUGUGUUUAAUUCCUAAGUUUUCCAUUGUCAAAGGUUCUAAGUGCCAUAGUUGUGUGCAAUCGAAGCAACCUCGCAAGCCUCACAAGGCUGCCGAGGAGAGAAACUUGGCACCAGUAGAACUCCUACAUUCAGAUCUUUGUGAAAUAAAUGGGGUUUUGACGAAGGGUGGAAAACGAUAUUUCAUGACGUUGAUUGAUGAUGCUACUAGAUUUUGCUAUGUGUACUUGUUGAAAACGAAAGACGAGGCUCUAGAAUAUUUUAAAAUUUAUAAGGCAGAAGUUGAAAAUCAACUCUAGACUAUUUUAAAAUUUAUAAGGCAGAAGUUGAAAAUCAACUUAACAGAAAGAUAAAAAGGCUUAGGACUGAUCGUGGUAGAGAGUUUUUCUCAAAUGAGUUUGACUUAUUCCGUGAGGAACAUGGCAUCAUACAUAAGAGGACACCUCCCUAUUCUCACGAGUCUAAUGGGAUUGCCGAAAGGAAGAACCGCACACUGACUGACUUGGUGAGUGGGACUGUAACACCCUGCCUCCAAAAUCCGCAUUAGUCCGCUCUACACGUUGAGCAGACCCACGUUCGCAUGGUAUCCCGAUUACGCUUUCGUCCUCGCUUCAUGUAAAAGGGUUAACCCGGGGAUACCAUGGUUGGAGCACCAAGGCUUAUAAGCAGGCCCUCACCCACCUAAACUUCCAAGGUGGUACUAAACCACCACUACACAUCCACUUCUGGGCCACAUGGGCCAAACUCACACUACUGACAGGCUUCAAACAGGCUGGGGUGUUACAGGGACUACCUAAGGCAUGGUGGGGGGAGGCAUUGUUGACCUCGAAUCAUGUGCUAAACAGAGUUCCUAACAGAAAUAAGGACAAAACACCAUAUGAGAUAUCUAUUGGGAGAAAACCAUCACUUUCUUAUUUGCGCACAUGGGGGUGCUUGGCGAAAGUCAAUGUACCAAUAACGAAGAAGCGCAAACUUGGACCUAAGACUGUAGACCGUGUCUUUCUGGGAUAUGCUCAUCACAACAUUGCCUAUAGAUUUUUAAUAGUUAAAUCUGAGGUACCUGACAUGCAUGUUGGUACAAUUAUGGAGUCUCGUGAUGCUACCUUUUUUGAGAGCUUCUUCCCAAUGAAGGAUACACAUAGUAGUUCUAGCCGACCUUCUAAAAUAAUUUAUAGUUCAAUCUCACCACCAGAACAAACUGAACAUACACAUGAACAUGUCACUGAGGAGGAUGACAGUGAAGCUCCUCGAAGGAGUAAGAGACAAAGGACGGCUAAGUCUUUUGGUGAUGAUUUCACUGUGUACCUCGUGGAUGACACUCCUAUGUCAAUUUUAGAAGCAUAUGCAUCUCCUGAUGCAGACUACUGGAAGGAGGCUGUCCGUAGUGAAAUGGAUUUCAUUAUCGCUAACGGGACCUGGGAGGUGACAGAGCGACUCUAUGGGUGUAAACUUGUGGGGUGCAAGUGGGUGUUCAAGAAGAAGCUCAGGCCUGACGGUACUAUUGAAAAGUACAAGGCUCGGCUUGUUGUAAGGGCUACACUCAGAAAGAAGGCGAAGAUUUCUUUGACAUUUACUCACCUGUUGCUAGAUUGACCACAAUUCGUGUGCUACUUUCCCUAGCAGCCCCACAUGGUCUUCUCGUUCAUCAAAUGGACGUUAAGACAACUUUUCUUAUUGGAGAGCCGGAUGAGGAGAUCUAUAUGGAUCAACCUAAUGGGUUUGUAGUUGAAGGUCAAGAAGGUAAGGUGUGCAAAUUGUUGAAGUCUUUGUUUGGUCUGAAACAAGCUCCUAAGCAAUGGCAUAAGAAAUUUGACAAAACAUUGACAUCUGCAAGCUUCGCAGUCAAUGAGGCAGAUAAAUGUGUGUACUAUCGCCAUGGUGGGGGUGAGGGAGUUAUUCUGUGAUGUAUGUUGAUAACAUACUGAUAUUUGGGACAAACCUUGAGGUGAUAAAUGAGGUUAAAUCAUUCUUGUCUCAAAAUUUUGAUAUGAAGGAUUUGGGAGUAGCUGAUGUUAUCUUAAACAUUAAGCUAAUUAGAGGUGAGAAUGGGAUUACACUCUUGCAGUCCCAUUAUGUGGAGAAGAUCUUGAAUCGCUUUGGCUACAUUGAUAGUAAGCCUUCUCCAACACCUUAUGAUCCUAGCUUGUUGCUUCGCAAGAACAAGAGAAUUGCUAGGAAUCAACUGGAAUACUCCCAAAUCAUUGGCUCGCUGAUGUACCUGGCUAGUGCAACUAGGCUUGAUAUCUCCUUUGCUAUGAGCAAGUUGAGCCGUUUUGCCUCUAAUCCGGGAGAUGAUCACUGGCGUGCGCUUGAGCGAGUAAUGCACUAUCUGAAAGGUACUAUGGAAUUGGGGCUUCACUAUACUGGGUAUCCUGCGGUACUGGAGGGUUAUAGUGAUUCUAACUGGAUCUCUGAUGUGGAUGAGAUCAAAGCCACUAGUGGAUAUGUCUUCACACUGGGUGGUGGUCCUGUUUCGUGGAGGUCUUGCAAACAGACCAUUUUGACGAGGUCAACUAUGGAAUCAGAGCUGACGGCACCGGAUACUACUACUGUUGAGGCAGAAUGGCUGCGUGAUCUAUUAAUGAAUCUGCCUAUUGUUGAAAAACCAGUGCCGACUAUCCUUAUGAAAUGUGACAAUCAAACGGUAAUUGUCAAAGUGAAUAGUUCUAAGGAUAAUAUGAAAUCGUCUAGACAUGUGAAAAGACGAUUGAAGUCUGUCAGGAAAUUGAGAAACUCCAGAGUUAUAACGUUGGAUUACAUCCAAACAGCUAGAAACCUGGCAGAUCCCUUCACGAAGGGACUAUCACGAAAUGUGAUAGACAAUGCAUCGAAGGAGAUGGGUUUGAGACCCAUGUGAGUUAUACUAUGGUGGUAACCCAGUCUAUGUGAUCCGAGAUCCCGUGAAUUAGAACCUAGGAAGAACAAACCAUUAGUAAACUAGAGGAGAGUACCAAUCUAUACCCUCUCUAAGUGAAGAUGCAUGUACUCUCGUGAGCAGCAAGGCAGGUUGGCUAUGCCUUAAUGAGUUCUGUUGGCUUUAAUUAGCAAAGAUGCUGUCUUGCAGAGCAUUCUUGAAAGACAUCACCUUUGUGAGCUUAACUGUUAGUCACAGUCCGUGGAGAUUUUGGGUGAAUAUUCUAGGAAGCUUAGUAAAGACCUAGGAGUAUGACUUAUACGCUCCACCCAAGGGGUAGUCUAUAGACGGUCUAGUACCAGAUAAGACUCUUAGUAAAACUUGCAUGCACAAGACUUGCAAUUCAAGGCGUAGUCCAUUGUUCAAGUUGUGAGUAAGUGUAGCUUGGAGUUCUAGAUGGAUGUUCAACCUUAAUCGGUCUCCAUUGAACUGCUGGUAUAUAAACAGUACAUUGGAAACAGCAAAUCUCAGUGGGAUUUUGAAAUUUGGUGGGGGAUAGUUGGAAUUAAUGGAUGGGCCUUAGCCCACACGAAGAUUAAUUCUUUGUAAAAUCACAAAAGCCCACCUCAUGAGAUGGUAUGCAUGUGGAGUUUUGUACCACCUUGCUUAUUCUAGGAGAGGGGGACCUCCUUAAAAGGGAGGAUGCCCUUCUAGCCACUUGAAGCAUGUGUGGUGGAGAGAAGAGGGGGAACACACGCGCGCGCUUGCUGGCCUGGCCUGGCACGGCAGGCGGCGUGCGUGCACGUCGAAUGAUCAGCAAAAUUGGCUCCUUAUGCUUACGCAGAUGCAGCCUCCUUUUGCAGUUUUGUUUUGUUGCGGAAAAUUCGGAUUUGUUUUCUUUUGGAAACAUUCCGAAAAAUCCGGUGCGUGAAAACGGCGUGGAGUCCGGAUAAGUUUCGCACGACUUAUCCGGUUCGGUUACACGGAGUGGAGAUCGUGCGGGCGCCUUGAUCAAGCAACCUAUCUCUAUAUAAACCGAGCCGCCGCCUACACGCAACACAUACGAAAUCAAUUUAUGGUUUGCCUCCUACUCUGUGCUGCACCGUCGCUCGUAGACUACUCCAUCCCGCUCGCCGGCGUGCACUGGCGAUCAGGAGAGCAGGUCUCCGGAACCUCUGCCUUCGACGUCCUGCAUCGGGAGAAGGCGGCAAUAAGGUUUUUGGAAAGCGCUUCGCGGGACUGACGACUCGCCUUCCUCUUCGCUCGCGUGCUGCGCGCCUUCGUCGACGCCCGCAACCGUGAGUAGUUCCUACCGAGCAACCGGUCUUUCCGCCACCUUGGUACGUGUUCGACAUGUUGCGCAUAUUUGAUAUGUUCAUGUUUUACUGCUUAGUUUACAUGUGUAGAUCUAAUGAUGCGUUCAUGCUAGUUUACAUCUGCAAUGUCAUAAUUUAUUUAUGAAAUAAAUUAAAUCAUUAUGUGCUUAUAAUUUCAAUAACUCCCCAGGUGCUUAAAUUUUGCUUGUUCCUUUUUUUUUUUUUUUUUUAUGAAACUUGUUCGUGUUCCAUGGAGGGAUGCCUAUGCGAUGAGUGCAGGAAGCUGAUAUACCAGUGUGGUGCAUGGGUAAGUGCAGACAAAUGCAGCCUUAGUAACAACAGAUAUAUGUGUGCCUCAUACAAUUCCAGGUUCCUUGAUGGCAGGUUAAAUCACUUCAUCAUUUAAGAGUUUUAGCAGCAGUUGAUAUCGUCGUCGAUACGAGGUGCUUUGAAGCGGAUAAAUUUUUUUAUGUGACCAUGACAGGGAAGAAGCAGAGUGAUGUGGAGCUCAAUGAUUUUCAGAAGUAUGCCUGUCCAUUUUUGCAUGGUGCGUGAAUUCUGAUUUUUAUUAGCCUUCAGAAUUUUUUUACUCGGAUUGUUGGAAAUGUUAAAAAUCUAAGACUGGGAUUGGUUUGAGAUGCUUGUGCACGAUAGGGUGAUUGAUCUUGUCAGCUUUGUAGAUGUUGUACAUUUCUUUCCAGAAUAUGAUGAAACCUAACCAUUGUUGAGUGUUUGUCACAGACUUUAGUCUAUUUCUGUCUCUUAAAUAAGCAUGUUAAGUAUACACCUGGGUCCUGAAAACCUAUUUCUUGCCAUUUAUUUUCAGGGAAGUUAACUGUUGGAAAUGAUCACUGUUCCUUCAUAGGCGUCAUUGUCAACAUAAAACUGCCAGUGGUUUAUGCAUAGAUAAUGGUAAUUAAGGCUGGCCGUUUUCAAUAGACUGAUGUAAGUGUAUCCGUUCUUGCACCCAAUACAGAAACCUGGAACUGGAGUAUUAUAACGACGGAAAAUUUUGGUCUGUGACAUUCACAUUCCUUUGUAGCAGUUUGUGUCUUCCUGCGAAUUCUUGAGGUGUCUGUCAUACACAAAAGUGUCUAAUACUCAGAAAUUGAUGUUUUGGAUCUGUCCAAACAUGUAUUGCCUUAACAAUUUUUUGGAGAGUUCAGGCCAUGACAGGUUAUGUGUAUUGCUUGUGGUCUUCUGUUCGAUGAACAAACUAAUCUCUAUAAUUUGUACUGAUUGUGAUCGCAGUUGUGCACUUUUGUUGUGAUCAUGGAUGUUUUCAUGCAUAGAGAGAAGGAAAUAUUUAUUUAUAUACCUACUUAAAAAAUAGCUAGGGAGUGUUUCUGUCUUGAUCUCGUUUCAUCUGUUGUCUGUCUCGGCAGCGCCUGUUUAGUCCGGUUGGCGAGUCGUGAGCGAUUGGAGAGCAACAAACGAGAGCUGAGUCUUGACAGUCUAACAAAAAUGAGUCCAUGUCUGCUUUUUCUUGGUAACACAGGGACAUUAUUGCUAUAUAGAAAUAAAAUUUUUGGAGGCAAGUUUAGGAAAUCAAGGUCCCACAUCUCGUUCGCAUGCAAUUUUCCUGUCAUCUCUCUGGUUACUGCACGGACACAGCCCAGCUCUUUUUUUUUUCAGAAGAAGAACCAACCACUAUAAUAUAUCCUGUAGUUCUCUUUUAUGGUGAAUCUUAAAAUCUUUGUUCUAUACUUCGUUACCAAAACUUAUAUUGUAUUAACAUAAAUUGUAUUAACUUAUAUUGUAUUUUUUAUUAAAUAUUACCGUAUCGUUAGCACGGGCAAAUUACUAGUUAUGUUUCGUUUGCUAAAUCAAACAAAGACACUACACUAUUAAGCACAAGGUCAUCAAAGGGCUCUACGAAUAGGCUUGUGAUGAUAAGAGUCAAAGGCAGUCAACAUAUAACCAUCUCGAAUAUUGGAAAUAUCCGAGGUGAUUGCGAAUCAAACCGCCUCCCAUAAUACCCAUUAAAAAUUUAUAGCGUAAGUUGGCUAGUGGAGUUUUGUAAGAUUUUUUUUUACAUGAAUUACUACUCUUUAGUUUGAUAUGUCAUUAUAUGUUUUUAGGAUCUGUAACUUUUAGUUCAUGUACUUGUGAAUUAUUAAUAUACUACAGUUCUGCAAACUAUAUUUUCUCUAAAAACUUCCUAUAUAUUUGUUAGAUAACUUCUUCUAAGCUAUUUUUAGAUAUAUAAUAUAUAUUAUUUAGUUCAUAUUUAAAAACUCCCUAGUCUAGCUCUCGAAUCGUCCAUAAAGAAUAUAUAUAUCCUUAGUUUGGUAUAAGUUUCACAUUUCAAUAUUCAUGGUUUUCACAAAAAUUUUCUAUGUUUUCCACAAAAUGGAAUACCAAUAUCAGCAUGAUCGAAAAAACAAAUAAACAAUCCAAAAAUUUUGCAUGUUUCCGAUAGCAUAAACUUCAGCGUGGUACAUGCACUAUGCUUGUGGGUGUUCACAGUCACAGAUCUUAAGGAUCUGAAGCAACUAUGAGAAAGCAAAAUGUGUUUUUCUUUUGCCCUUUUCACCUUAGUUUCCCCCAUUAUUUGUCUAAUCGAGAGAGCACAGGAAGAAAGCGAGUACGCGGCAUACUUGCUACAGCUGAUAUCAGUGCUACACUUGCCAAAAAGGUUGAGACCGGCGCCUACAGUCUGCGAAAACCUAUUUUUGAAAUGGAUACUGCGAAAAUAUAUCUAUUUUUUUGGACGGCUUCAUACGACAUCAACUUAUAAAAAUUGAUUUGCAUGGACAGUAUCUACGUGAGAAACCUGCCCUUAAAAAUGGAAGCACCAUUAAAAUACGAAAAAAAUCAUAACUUCUUUAUAUGAAGCCGUAUGAAGACAAACUUUGUAUAAAAAUUUUUAUCAUGAGAAAAUAGGAAUUUGGGUCAUUGAGAGAAUAUGUUGCUCCUAUCAAGUGGAUAAAGGUGCAUUUUCGCAUUUGUUUCUUUGACGCGCACAAAGAUACAAUGUUUCCCAUUUGUUUACGAUAUUACCACAUCCAAAAUCAAGAAGAUUACUUUUCAUGUGAAGCUUCGAAGAUUGGAAUGCUUUUUUUUCCAAAUCAAAUAAGUUUAUACAGUCCAAUGGGUAAUUACAUAUGUCUCACAAGUAUAAUAUAUGAUCAGUCAAACCAUUAGCAACUUAUUUUAUUUUUACAUGGAAACAGUAUCUGGCUAUGCUAGCAAUAUAGGAUGAAUAAAAUUAAAAUAACUUAAAAUAUAACGACAAACUGCUUUCUUGAAAUUUUUGUUCUUCUCACAAAGUGAUCAGUCAAUAUUAUUACUGAUAAAAAAUUUGCUCCAAAUUGAAAAUUCUACAUCAAGAAUUAAUUUGUUGUUCCUUAAAAUCUAAAUGCCCCUUGAUGAGAACAAAUCUAUCAAGAUGCAACACGUACGUCUCCAGAAAAGAGAAAGUAUCAAGUAAAAAGACAGAGAGAAAUAGAGUAAAACACGGCCGGGGUUGGCUAAUGGAGCUUGUUCCCUAACUUGGAAAAUCAGCCAUCACUAGAAAAUUAGCCUUCUCUAUAAACCAAAUUUGUUUUUUGUUUUGAGCAUCUCCGAGCUUCUAUUUCAUCCUCUCUAUAGCUAAUUUAGCAAUUCUUUCAGAAAGCGCCACCCAUUGUUUUACUUGCUGGCUUAUCAGGCGCAAGUAAAAUUAAAGAGUAAAAUACACUCACGUUCACGAUACACAAACUUAAGUGGUAGGUGUAAAUAGGUAGAACAGACGUUCUGAUGCAACAACUUACAUAUUUCAGACGAAGCAAGGCCAAAAUACUCUAAACAAUUAAAAUAAACAUGGCUUCAGAAUGAAUGUCAUGUUAGCUCCAAAAUUUUGAUAAAUUGACCUUUUUUGAAAACUUAUUUUAAGAUUGGAUCAUGCUGAAAACUAAUUGAAAAAUAAAUCGUUAGCUCAGCACCAUCAGGGUUAGCACUGUGGUAUAACAUAUUGCGCCAACAACAUUGACACUAAGAUCCUAGCUGAGGUAGUGAGAAAUUCCACGGUAGAAGGGAUCAGCGCCAAUGUCGUUGUACAGGUUAAGUAAAACAACAGCAAUUAUUAGUGAGAUAUGCAGGUAUAGUCUAGUGGUGGGAGGUGAGUUUUUUCAAUCAAGACAUCCAUGUUCGGUCCCUUAGAGGCGAAUUGAUGUCGUAUUUAUUUUUCUGAAAAAGCUCCCAACUCAUCCAAUCAUGUAUCAAAAACGAUUUUUACCGAAGUUGGCAUUUUAUUUUUCCAGGCGUACAAAAAAUAUCCUCUUAUAGCCAUUUGAGAUAAUAGCUAAAGAGCCUCUAGAUUUAACCCCGCCUGCGAAAAUCAAUUUUUCUAGGCGGAACCCCUUUAUUUUAACAAGCAGACCUCUUAAGGGAUCCGCCUAGAAAAAUAUGAUGUUCGCAAACCGAACUUUACGUGGUUUGCCUGCAAAAAUUCCUCCACCAUCGCCACCACUCAUUUCCCUCCCUCUCCUCUCUCUCUCUCAUCUAGCCGAUGCCGACGACGACAACGACUGCCGCGAUGACAACGGCGCCGACACCUGGGUCCCGCCGCCUGCUGCAACGACGACGCCGCCUAGAUCCACCGCCGGCUAGGCCCAGGUGCGCAGAUCCACCGCCAGCCGGUCUCGGGGAGGGGAGGGGAGACAGCGGCUCGGCUCCUCCCUCUCCCGGCAACGGCGGCGGCUCAGCGACGAGGAGGUGAGGCGGUGGCUCGGCUCCUCCCUCUCCCGUCCCGGCUGUUGGUAUUUCUUAACGAUAUUACUAGAAAUGUAAUUCCCAGCAAUGGCACAGAAACACUCGUGGUAUAUUAUGGCUACAGAUUUCAUCCGCAAGCGCACAGAUAUACCAUUGUAGCAUUUCACCUGGGAGUAUUCCAACAAUAUUGUAUUUUUUUAAUCCCGUGGGAAGAUUAUAAUAGAGAGAACCAAGCUAAUAUUUGUAUCUUACUUGUAAUAAUCAAAGUCUAAGCAGGGGUUAGUUCAAUUCAAAUGACACAAAGCUGAAGCAUUCACUAUUCUCGUACAUACUAAUUCUAGGUUAAGUGGAAAGAAUUAAAAAAGAAUCAUUUCCUAUACUUCUAAUAUACAUACAUACACUUUAGUCAAUAUUAUCUACUAUAUAAUUAUAUAGCCAAGACCCCUCUUACAAUGCCCUCUUGGUGUUUCGAGAGACCGCCCCUAGUUGUCGAGUUCCUUACGACAACCCGUCAUGGCCAUCCAAUCGGGGCUAAAUACGGAGGAGUACCCUGCCCAGGAAAGUAACUUAGGAUUAUAUACACGCGCGAAGGAAUACCCGUACUGAGCUGUCACCAUAAGCGGCCCACCUCGACAUAUCCACACCAUAUAACCCCAAAUAAUGAUAUUCAGUAGCCUAAGCACCUCUCUUAUGCUACCAAAUACUACUCUACAAUCACCGUCGUGACUUAGAGUAAUCAUAUAAAUGAACAUUAUACCCACACCAAUGCAUCUCCUGAGUAAGCUAGCUAAACAAUUAUAUCUCGAAUAAUAUAUCAGAAAGUCGGUACUGAAAUAAUCAAAGUGAAGUAAAGUACUGUAAAUAUGUUGAGAAGAAUAUUCUAUAAAUAGUACAAGUCUUACAAAAGAAGGAAAAUCUACUAGAGCCAUACCCGAACUCUUCCGAAGACUCCGAGGACUGAAGAUUCUAUUCUAUUUCUAUUCUAUUUCUAUUCCACUGAAGCUUCUUGCUUGAGGCGUAUCUUGAAAUGGAGAGAGCGAGGGCCUUUUAUAGCUUAAGUAUGACGGUUGGAAAGGUCGGUAAUACCCUCCAACCAUCAUAGGGAGUCUAUCUGAGCCAUCUAGCCAAAACCUGGGUCAAACUGCGCCACGGUUGGUUCGGCCGAACCCAGGGUUCAGCCGAACCCUAGGCUGGCUCAACCGGCCCACAAUUUGGUCGGCAGCCUCCUCUUCUGUUGCUCACUUCAGACUUUUAAAUUUUGGCCCAGUUGGUCAUGUCAUUUCUGAGUUUUUGGCCCAUCUAUCCAUAAGUGGCUUGGCGACGAGGUUGGGAAGCGGCGGCGGCGCUCCAAUCCUCCCUCCCUCCCAGAUUUGUCCAUCGGCUGAGGAGGAAGCGGUGGCGGAGGAGGAGCCAACGGAGCCGGCACCGCAGGCAGCGUCGACCCCUCCCUUCCUAGAUCUCCCAGUUCCGGUACCACCACAGCGAGACGCUGCGCAGUUCAAUCUGUGAGGCCGGGCGAGUGUGGCUCGACCCGGGUCUCAUCGAGAUGUCGCGCGCUACCGCGCUAGGUGAUGCACCACGCCGAGGAGGAGGAGCUGCCCAAGUACGAGCCCGACGCGCUGCAGGUGGAAGCGGCGGCGCAGGCGAAGAUGAUGGGGCCGUUGGUGGUAACGGGGUUCCUCGUUGCCUACGUGCCCACCGGUGGGAUCAGGAUACACAUGAUGAGGUCGUUGCUCUACUCAAGGCGCAUCGUGCUGCCCGGUAAGCCAGAUAAGGGCGGCGGACGGAGGAGAGACGUCAGUCGGAGGGGGAGGCCGCCAGCGGCGGCGACAGGAGCGGUGGUGGCAGCGUAUUUUUUUCUUUGUUCGCUGAAAAUAUUGAUAGAGAUGUCGCAUGCGAAAAUCAUCUAUUUUCACAGGCCUUUGCGUAUACGCGGUCCUUUCCCCGCCUGAAAAAACUAUUUUUGGCUACCUGAGAAAAUGAUUUUUCUAGCAGUGUAUAUAUGUGUAGCAUUGAGAUUUAAAGAGAGAAAAAAUGAAAAUGACUUACCUGGCGGCCAAAGGGAUUUGAACCUACUCCAUCCGUCUCAUAAAAAACAAACCGAUUACAGUAUGUGACACAUCAUAAUACUAUAAAUCUGGACAGGGGCAAGCACAUGAUGUAACACACCAUAGUAACAGUCAUGUUACUAGGAUGUGUCACAUCUCAUACUAGAUUUAUUUUUUAUGGGGCAGAGAAAGUAUAGUACAACAUUACAUAAACCAAGUAAGCUACCAAACCAUUGCACCACUAGCUCACUUCCGGCUAGAAACAAGGCACCACCUUAAUUAUCACUAUGGAACUCCCCACCCUCAACUAGGAUCUUAAUGCCAAAGCCGUUGGAGCUGAGAUGUGAUACCCCAACGCCAAUCUUGAUGGCGCUGAGCCGACGGUUCAUUUAUAGAAUAUAAGUUUUAGCACAGUCUAAUCUUAAAAUAAGUUUUGUACAAAGGUCAAUUUGUCAAAAAAUUUUAUAUUAGUUCCACGCUAGUACGUCUCUUUAUUUCAUUUUUGGAAACACCGUUCAUUAUUAACCUAAGUAGGAAGAAAACCCGUGCAGAUACGUGGGCAUCUUAUUUAUUAUUUAGAAAAAGAAUACUAAAAUAAGUCUUAUAUCAUCGUAUUCACUGCAAGUGACCGUAUAUUGUCUAUAAAAAAAGAAAUAUCUAUGUCGGGAAAUAAACCAUAUACUUUAAUAUACUAAAUGGGAACAAUGUCCCCCAUAUUAAAAAAAAAUCACUUUGUACCAUUUAUAUGUAAAUUCGCAUAUCAUCACCACUACUCAUUAUCAUUGUUUUAAAAGCUCCCUAUUUAAUAGAUGAAAUUAUAUCUGUACCACAAAAAUAAGCUCAAUACAUCAUUAAUACACUAAAAAAUUUAUCCCACUACUUACCUAAGUGAUCAUGUCUACUUAUUUCCAACACUAUAUAUAAAUAUUUUAAAUAUACUGAUUCUGCCCAUUGAUAGGACAAUACCGUUAAAAUUAAACACGAAUACCUAUCUAAUGGAUGAAACUGAGUAGCCGACCAUAGCUACCAAGACUUUCUUCUCAGUAACCUUUAAACAAGGUGGCCACAUAGACAUGGUCAUGCCCCUAAAGAUCCGUGCAGAUCACAAUUUUAAUUUCUUGUUUACUAUUAUGUAUGGUCUUACCAUACUUAGAGCAGUGUAGCAAGCUCUGUUAUAUAUACUUGCAUCCUCCAGGGAAGGACAGAGAAAAUGAAGGUGAUGAAAAAUAGUUUUUUUUGUCAAUUUAUCGUAUAGAGUAGACAUCAUUUGGAGUUAAUCAAUAGUACUCAAAUUCUCAUUGUAUUGAUAUGGCAUUCUCUUUUGAAAUUGAAAAUGAGCUAGGUCGAUUAUUCGACACUACCUAAAGAAACUAUAGCGAAACAAAUGUACCAUACCACCCUGGAAAUCUUCAUAGCACCAUAUCAUUGUUUAAAUUUUGACAAAAACUUUGUUUAACGCCUCGUUUGUUUUCAAUAUCAACUUAUUUGCAGUAACUAAUUCGUUGAAAUGCACUUACAAUAACAUUAGUGGGGUGUAUAACAUAUAUCCAUCAAUUAUACCCGAUAUAUAUAUAUGUGUAUAUAUGUAUAUAUGUAUAUGUAUAUAUGUAUAUGUAUAUGUAUAUAUAUACAUAUAUGUACAUGUAUCUCUACAUAUAUACAUAUGUAUAUAUGUAUAUGUAUAUAUACAUAUGUAUAUAUACAUAUAUAUAUACAUAUACAUAUAUAUACAUAUACAUAUAUACAUAUACAUAUAUAUACAUAUACAUAUAUACAUAUACAUAUAUAUACAUAUAUAUAUAUAUAUAUAUAUAUAUAUAUGGAAACUCAGAUGUGAACCGAAGUUCAUAUGCACCAUAAAUCUCAGCUGCUCGUUGGUUCCAAGAUGCGUGCCAAGUGCAUAUGCUUAUAGCACGAUUGAGUAGUACUAGUUUUGUUGAUUGCUGUAGCAGCCUGUAGUCUAGUAUGGCUGACGGGACGCGUGGGCUCCUUUUGACGCUUCAAUUUCUGCCGUAUUAAUUAACACUCUUUAGAAGUUGGCUGUGACUUGUCAUGUCACAUGGACACAACUUUUUUUUUAUGGACAGACCGUGCCCGGGAGUUUUGCCUCUUCAUGCAUGAGUGACUUCAUUGUUUUACUUAUAUCAGUUUCUUUAUGUUUCGUAGCUUAUUAACAAUAACUAAAAAAAUAAUUUAAUUUGUGAGUAAAGUUUUUAAUAUACAUGUCCGUAGCGAUCCAAAAGAAAAUAAUAUAAAUAAAGCAUGAUGAGAAACAUAUCAAUACUACUCACCUCUGCUGCACAAAAUUGCGUUCAUAAUUUUGAAAGCCUUUCGGAAGAUAGCUCGGACAAAGGAUCUGACAUAUUCACUCUGGAAAAUUAAUUUUACAAAUUUAUUUGUAUAUUUAAGUGAGCAAAUAUUGCUAGUUAGUUGCUCUAGAGCUAUUAUCAAAUUUGCAAUAGAUCUAUUCGAUUUCAUAUGUCAAGUGCUAUUAUCAAAUCUCAAAAUUAGCUUUUUACCGUGGUCAACUUGGUCAGAUUACAUUACCAUGUUAAUUACAAUUGGAAAAAGUAUAUAUACUCAUAAACUUAGAUAUUAUGAUGUAUUGGCUUAUAUUACAUUACUAUGUUAAUUACAAUUGGAAAAAAAUAGAUUUUAUGAUGCAAUGGCAUAUAUUCGUAGGAACACCAGUCAUGUACUUUUUAAAGUUUAUAAUAAAUGCCAAGUGAUAUAUCAUUUUGCAAUGUCAUUUAUACAUCACGUUGCAAAAUUACAUUUCUAUGCAAAUAUCAUAUUUUGGUGGUGAGUGGAUGUUUAUUUUGAUAUAUUUUUUUAUGUAGAUUGUAACUAAAUCAUAUUUUAGAAUGUAACAUAUAUCUGUAAAAUAUUAACCACAUGUUUUUUUUAUUUUCAAUCCAUGGCAAGCGAAUAAGCAAUAUACCCCAAAUCAUGUACCCAUACCCAGUAGACAUGACAACUAACAAAAAGAGCUGAAAGUAUUUUAUGAAUGAGAUUUUUAGCUUAUAGUGAUGACAUGAUAUUGGUGUCAGAGUAUAGGUGAGGCAUGCAGGUGCAGGGGGACUUUGGGAGGCAUAGAAGCAAGUCAACUUGUACCAAGCAAACAAGCAUGCAUACGCAGCCCUAUAUAGAAACGGAGUGGAGUAGGUACAUCUUACAGCUGCAUUAGUACAUAAUGGACUGACUCAUCCCUGGUGCAAUGUGCAUACGUGUCAGCCAUAUGAGGUGGGUACAUAUGAACCUUGGUUCACUUGGUUCAUAUUAUGCAGCUCCUAUAUACACCUAGGUGUAUGUACUCCCUCUCCCAUCUACCGUCCAUCACAACUAGCCUCUCGAUGAAGUUUGUUACCGGAUCCACCAGGCAGACCCCUUUUAAUUUUUCACGAGAAAAAAUUUUGCGUAGUAAUUGGAAAACAGGAACACUCGGAGCUCGCGUAUAAAUACCUCUCGUCAGCCUAGAUCGAUAAACCAGGUCAUGAGCUGUGUGCGAUAUCUACGGACUACUUGGAGGGAACAACGGCGGGAUCCAUCAGUUGGCGUCUACAGCGAGUCGGAGGCGAUGGUGCGAUACAUCGGCGCGGCAUCUUCUGCCGUGCCGUCAUCGCAGGAUCCCUACAAAAUGGCGUCAGGCGGCGGCACCACGGCAGGACAUGUUCCUCAGAGGCAACGAUGAUCGUGUCGAUCUGGAUGACGGCCAUAACCACUUUUCCCAUUGGAUACCAGCAGGUUUGUUAUUUUAUUUUACCAACAAGUUGUGAUUUGAUUUCAGAUUUUGUCAAGUGAAGCCAAAAACGGCAGUGAUGACACAGGAUCUACGGCAAGUCGAAGGCGACGCCGCGAUCCAUGGGCAUAGUGUUUUCUAGGAACCGGCAGCGGUGAUCCUUCGCAGACGUGGGUACUGCGAUAGAUCCCGUCGGCAAGCCUGUGUGCAGAUGCACCACCACCAAGCCUGACGUUUGAUCUCUUUCCAUUUUCUUUGCGCAUCUCUCACAGAUCUUCCUCUUGUUAGAUCAGUUUCUAUUGCUUACCGAUGAUGAUCAAUUCUACAUCAAUUUCUUUGUGCAUGCAGAUGCGAUGCCAGGACGCAUGCAUGGUGACUGACGGACGACGGCAGACCAGCGUCAGCUGAAGCACAUGGUGCAUAGGUAGCUGCCAAAAAUCAGAGGCGACUGUUGAGUUUGUUAUUACAGCUGUGGCCCCAACGUGUUCCUGGUGAUUGCAGUUGCAACGGUUGAAGGAAUAAAUCUGUGUUUGUUAGCAGAUGCGAAUGAUGCGGUGAUCGAGUCAGAAGAAGACCGCGUCGGUAGCAUUCGUGUGCGUGAGUUUAGCGUGGGUGCGUGAGUCGUCGAAUUCAGAGAAAAGCGGAUCGUGGGAUGGCACGAUUUGAGCCUCGGAUUCUUUCUUUUGUGUGCAGUAUAAGUAGGAGUUUUUGUACUGUUAUUCGAGUUGCAUGUUACUCUGUUCAGUGAAUGAAAACCACAGAAAUUUAGCCCCACAAAUUUCCUAUCUGCUAUUGUUCUCUGAAACUUCUCAAUUUCCUGUGUUCUUGUUCUGCUCUGUAUUCCUCUGAAUCUCGUUCGUUGCCGUGCCGGAUUGCUGCAGUACGCAUGCAAGGUGUUCGAUCGAGGGUCUAGCGCUAACAAGUGGUAUCAGAGCACCCAGGUUUGAGGGCUGGUCUGACACCAUGGCGUUGGUUCCGGCAACGUCGGAUCCGGCGAGGGGGAGCUCGGGGAGCGCUUUCUUGUAUCCACAACUCACGGCCACCAACUACACUAGUUGGGUGAUCCGUGUCCAGGCGAUGAUGGAGGACCAGGGUGUGUGGGAGGUGAUUGAACCGGCGGCCGGGGCGGCCGUCGACCCUCAGAAGGACAAGAAAGCGAAGUCGCACCUGCUGCAGUCGCUGCCAGAGGAUCUCCUCAUGCAGGUGGCAAAGAAACGAUUGGCGAAGGAAGUAUGGGAUUGUCUCAAGACAAGAUUCGUGGGUGCUGAUCGACUGCGUGACGCGCGGCUGUAGACGCUGAAGGGCGAAUUCGGCGCCAUGGUGAUGGAGCCGGGGGAAACCCUGGAUCAGUACGCAGGCCGCAUCACCACGAUGAGCGUGCGCCACUCGGCGUUGGGCUCGACGUUGAGUGAUGCCGCGAUGGUGAAGAAGUUGUUCGACACGGUGCCGGAGAAAUUCGUCAACCUUGUCACAGGUAUUGAGCAGUUUUAUAAUGUUGAUGACAUGCCAUUCGAAGAAGCUGUGGGCCGGCUUAAGGCUUACGAGGAACGGGUGCGUAAGAAGAAGGCAGCGGCCGGCGGAGUCACCACCGACGGGCAGGUUCUUCUCACUCAGGCUGAGUGGGAGGCGCGGUUCAAGAAGGAUGGCGGGGAGUCAUCGUCGCCCCAGAAAGGGAAAGCUUCCGGAGAGGGAGCUAAAGGCGGCCAAAGCGGUCGCGGACGCGGGCGAGGCCGUGGCGCAGGUGGGCGCGGUGGCGCCGCUCGCGGCAACUCUGCAAGUGGCUCAGGCGGCGGUGGCCGUGACAAGAGCCACAUCAAAUGCUUCAACUGCGAGGAGUAUGGUCACUAUUCCAACCAGUGUCCGCACCCAAAGAAGAAGAAAGGAGAAGCACACUUGGCCCAGACUGAGGACGCCGGCGCCGCGCUGCUGCUUGCGGUGACCGAGAACGCGCCGGUGCAAGCGACGCAGGAGAUGUUUGUGCAUGAGGAUCGUGUGUGGCCAAACUUGCUGCUGGCUGAUGGUGGCGCGGUGGCUGGAAACGUCUGGUAUUUGGACAACGGCGCUAGCAACCACAUGACCGGAGAUCGCAAGAAAUUCAGAGAGCUAGAUGAAUCAAUAACUGGCAGCAUCAGGUUUGGGGAUGCAUCGUCGGUGCAGAUCAAAGGGAAGGGAUCUGUUCUCUUUUCUUGCAAGAAUGGUGACCAAUGGCUUCUCCAGGACAUGUACUACAUUCCUAGCCUCUGUUGCAACAUGGUGAGCUUGGGGCAACUCACUAAAACAGGGCAUCGAGUGGUGAUGGACGAGGAUGUCCUCGAGGUGUUCGACAAGUGUCCUUGGCGACUGGUGAUGAAGGUGAGGCAUACCACGAAUCGUCUCUACCGGAUCGAGCUCAACCUUGCCUAUCCAGUGUCCCUGCUAUCCAGCCUUGAUGAUCCGGCGUGGCUGUGGCAUGCACGUUUGGGGCAUGUGAAUUUCCAAGCGAUGAAGCUGUUGGUGGACAAAGGCAUGGAGGUGGACGUACCGGCCAUCGUUCACCCGAAUCAGCUUUGUCAGGUGUGCUUGGUGGCGAAGCAAAUCAGGGCGUCCUUCCCUGUGGUGGUGAACUACAGGGCGGAGGAACCACUGGAGCUCAUUCACAUUGAUCUGUGCGGGCCGAUCUCGCCGGCGACGAUGGCUGGUAACAAGUAUUUUGUUUUAAUCAUUGAUGACUUCACACGGUGGAUGUGGGUGUUUGUGAUUAAAUCCAAGGAUCAAGCAGUGGAGGCCUUCACCAAGUUUCAAACCCCUGGCCGAGAACGUGGCCGGGCGGCGCAUCAAGACGCUGAGGUCGGAUCGCGGCGGCGAGUUCCUGUCCGGCGAGUUUGCACAGGUGUGCGAAUCGGCUGGCAUCCAGCGGCAUCUCACUGCGCCGUACUCGCCGCAACAGAACGGGGUGGUGGAGCGCCGGAACAGAUCAGUGAUGGCGAUGGCGCGCUCCCUCUUGAAAGGGAUGAGUGUAGCAGGCAGACUUUGGGGGGAGGCGGUGCGCUACGCGGUGUACAUCCUCAAUCGGCUGCCAACCAAGGCGAUGGGUAAUCGUACUCCAUACGAGGCGUGGAUGGGGAAGAAGCCACAUUUGGCACACUUGCGUGUGUUCGGGUGUACUACACAUGCGAAGAUCACAACGCCACAUCUUAAGAAGCUGGACGACCGGAGUGCACCGUAUGUGUACUUGGGGGUGGAAGAAGGGAGCAAGGUGCAACGGCUGUUCGAUCCACGUCGCGGUCGCAUCCACGUAAGUCGUGAUGUCAUAUUUGAAGAAAAUGUUGUUUGGCAGUGGCUUGGAGAUGCAGGCGAGCAAGUCUCCGUUGAAUUUGAUGUUGAAGAAAUCGUUGAGCCACCAGCCGGCUCGGCGACAUCGCUGCCAGGCGCGAUACCGAGGUACCAGGCGCCAUCACCCGGCAACCGUCCUGGCAAGGAGCCGGUGGUGGUAGAAGAGGAAGCUUCCUCUCCGGCAGGCACGAUGGAGGCGUCACCGUCACUGCCGACCACUCCUGCUACGCCUAUCGGUGAACAGAGUACACCGCACUCUGCUGGCGAAAUUGACACCGAUGGUGCUCCUGUUCGGUACAGGCACAUUGCCGAUAUUAUGAGAGAUGCGCCCAGGGUGGACUUGGUUGACGAUGAACAAGAUGGUGAGGCAUUGCUUGCAGAGAUGGAGGAGCUGUCAGCUUACCAUGAAGCAGCCGGUCACCCGGCGUGGGAGGACGCCAUGGCUAUGGAGAUGGAUGCCAUUGAGUGCAACGGGACGUGGGAACUCACCACGUUGCCAGCUGGCCACAGGGCAAUUGGGCUUAAGUGGGUUUAUAAACUCAAGAAGAACACUGCGGGAGAAGUGAUCAAACACAAGGCUCGGUUGGUGGCAAAAGGAUAUGUGUAGAGACAAGGAGUCAAUUUCGAUGAAGUCUUUGCACCGGUGGCAAGACUUGAUACAGUAAGAGUUGUUCUUGCUCUAGCAGCUGAUCGCCGGUGGCAGGUCCACCACCUUGAUGUCAAGUCAGCCUUUCUUAAUGGCGAGCUAGAAGAGGAGGUAUAUGUUGCACAGCCAGAAGGUUUUGUCAAGCAAGGCAGAGAGCAUCUCGUGCUCAGGUUGAACAAGGCAUUAUAUGAACUCCGGCAGGCGCCGCGAGCCUGGAACAUUCGCCUAGAUAGAUGUCCGAAACAGCUCGGUUUUGAGCGGUGCACGCAGGAGCAGGCUGUGUAUACUCGGGGCACAGGCAGUGGUGGUGUCAUCGUUGGCGUCUAUGUCGAUGAUCUGAUUGUGACUGGUGAAAAUCCUGUUGAAUUGAAGAUGUUCAAGGAACAAAUGAUGGGGGAGUUCGAGAUGAGUGAUCUCGGUCUGCUCUCGUUCUACCUCGGGAUUGAAGUUGAUCAGGGAGAAAAUGGAACCACGCUGAAGCAAACUGCCUAUGCCAGAAAAGUGCUUUCUCAGUUCGGGAUGCUGGAGUGUAAUUCAACCUCAAUUCCGAUUGAUCCAAGGAUGCAGCUGAACAAAGUCGCAGAUGGUCACCCGGUGGAUGCAACUGAGUAUCGGCGAGUGAUCAGUUGUCUUCGAUAUCUGUUACACACAAGGCCAGAUCUUUCCUUUGCUGUUGGAGUGGCAAGCAGAUUUAUGGAGCGGCCAACUCUUAUGCACUUCAAAGCAGUGAAACAAAUUCUCAUAUAUCUGAAAGGUACAAUUGAUUGUGGCCUUGUGUAUGCAGCUGGAAAUGGUGAUAUGCAGAUUACUGGGUAUACAGACAGCGACCUCGCUGGGGAUGUUGAUGACCGCCGGAGCACGGGUGGUAUGGCGUUCUACAUCAAUGGCAGUUUGGUUGCUUGGAGCUCGCAGAAACAAAAGACCGUGGCGCUGUCGUCGUGUGAAGCUGAGUUUAUGGCGGCCACGGCAGCAGCUUGUCAUGCGCUUUGGCUAAGAGCACUGCUGGUUGAGAUUGUUGGAGGACCGACGAAGGUGGUUAAGCUGUUUGUGGAUAACAAAUCAUCGAUUGCUCUCAUGAAGAAUCCAGUGUUUCAUGGGAGAAGCAAGCACAUCGAUACACGAUAUCACUUCAUUCGUGAGUGUUUUGAUGGAGGGCAAGUGGUUAUUGAGUUUGUCCGGACUGAGGAACAGCGAGCAGACGCUCUGACAAAAGGUUUGCCGGCGGCGAAGCUGGCGACGGCCCGGCACCUUCUUGGUGUUCGUUUUCUUGGGCCACAGCAGAAUUAAGGGGGAGAUUGUUGAGUUUGUUAUUUCAGCUGUGGCCCCAACGUGUUCCUGGUGAUUGCAGUUGCAACGGUUGAAGGAAUAAGUCUGCGUUUGUUAGCAGAUGCGAAUGAUGCGGUGAUCGAGUCAGAAGAAGACCGCGUCGGUAGCAUUCGUGUGCGUGAGUUUAGCGCGGGUGCGUGAGUCGUCAAAUUCAGAGAAAAGCGGAUCGUGGGAUGGCACGAUUUGAGCCUCGGAUUCUUUCUUUUGUGUGGAGUAUAAGUAGGAGUUUUUGUACUGUUAUUUGAGUUGCAUGUUACUCUGUUCAGUGAAUGAAAACCACAGAAAAUUAGCCCCACAAAUUUCCUAUCUGCUAUUGUUCUCUGAAACUUCUCAAUUUCCUGUGUUCUUGUUCUGCUCUGUAUUCCUCUGAAUCUCGUUCGUUGCCGUGCCGGAUUGCUGCAGUACACAUGCAAGGUGUUCGAUCGAGGGUCUAGCGCUAACAGCGACACCUAAUGCAUUUGUUCAAACCUCCCAGAGAACUAAAUAGGUUCUGAAUUUUUCAGCAGCAUAUAUAGAUAUCUACCUCUUGUUUCUUUUUCUCUAUUUUUCGAUCCACUUGUUGAUUCUGAAUCUUGUGAGCAUGAUAUCAUUAUACCUCUUGUUUUUUGUAUUUACAGAGGAAUUUUGUAUCAUACUUCUGAAUUUUGCUCGUGGAAAAGCAUAUUAUACUACACACUUGAAAAGCUAUAAAUGGCUUAUCUAAGUAAUAGUGGUAUAUACUACUAAAUCUAAGAAAUAGUGUAUCUACUUAUUUAAAGUAUAUGCAUCAUAUACUGACGAAACAAAAAGAGAAGUAUAUGCAGAUACUGAGCAAACAAGAAAGCAGUAUGAACUCCUUUAGCGAGGAGAUGCAGUAUAUAGUGACCAAACAAAAUAGUAGCAUACGCAGCAUAUACUGACCAAACUAAAAAAACUAGUAUAUAUAUGCUCCUUCAAUAAUAAUGUAGUAUACACUGGCUAGAAAUUUCAAGAAAACAGUAUAUACUGUUCGAAGGAAUAAGUAGCAUAUACUUAUAAGAAAACAGUAUAUAUUGUUCCAAGAAGCAGUAUAUACUUAUAAGAGAGAGUAUGCGAACAUACUAUAUACUACAUUGCUACUAGAGUAUGCAGAAAGCAGUACAUAUGUACAUUCAUAUAUAUACUUUGUGAAAGAAAUCAGUACAUUCAGAGAAAAAAUCAGUAUACCCCAGCUCUUAAAGAAAUCAGUAUAUGCUCGGUCAAGAAGAAAUCAGUACAUACUCUUUCGGAAAUCAGUAUAUGCUCGGUCAAGAAGAGAUCAGUACAUACUCUUUCGGAGAAUAUAUCAGUAUAUACUGAACAAAAAAAGUAGUAUAUGCUGCUAUAAUUAAGUAAAACGAGUAAAGUUUAUACUACUACUACUAAGUGAGAAAAAAAUAUACUUCAAAUGUUUAUAAUCGGAUUUUUCUACUCAGUUUGCAUGGUAGAAGAUCCAUGUCUUUAGAGGACGAUUACGUACGUUCACAGUUCAAAUUUGAACUUAUGCACCCGGUUCAACUAAUUGUGCAUGCAUGCAUCAUGUAGCGAUUAGAGGAAAUUAAUAUUUUCAUUCUUUUUCCCAGCAGUUUAAUUGUUAAUGGGUUAUCCGCUAAGGGGAGGGAGUAUGUACUCUCGGGAGUACAAAACAUUGAUCCUAUAUAUAUAUAUAUAUGUAUAUAUAUAUAUAUAUGUAUGUAUAUAUAUGUAUGUAUAUAUAUAUAUAUAUGUAUGUAUAUAUAUAUAUGUAUAUAUAUAUAUACGUAUAUAUAUAUAUAUAUAUAUAUAUAUAUAUAUAUAUAUGUAUAUAUACACAUAUAAUAGUACUUUAAUGCGCAUCUUAUUAGAUUGUUCAUCUGUUGCCAAAACAAUAUUUGGUAAAGAAAAAAAAUCCUAUAUGUAUGACCAUAAUUCUCGUGAUGGAUUAAGGGGUUGUAUUAUAGAAAGAUAACUGGUUGGAAAUUUUUUUUGAUAAUGUUUCACAUCUAUGGAAAUUCUCCUCACCUAUCAAAUACCAAAUAACACAAAUUAAAAACUUUGAGAAUAUUAACCUUACACAAAAAUAAAAUAAAAUCAGAUCUAACUGAAAAACACAACUAAAUUAUGUUUUUCAUUUUACAUACAUAGAUUUAAAUUAGAGUUCUGUGUUUGUCGAGUAAUAUUUGACACCAUAAAAUAUGAUGUGAAAUUAUUUAAAAAAUUAUUAUGACAUUAAUUAUUAUAUGUCGGUAUCAUGACUCGUGAUGUAUUUAGCACUACAAUUUAAUUUAACAAAUACAACCAAAUCAUAAAUUGAAUAUAUAAUUUAAAAGAGUGACAUUUAAAGUAUGUUGAUUUGAUAUUUUAUUUUUUUAUUAUAGACCUAGUUUAUUUAUACUUUGUAGAGUAAUAUAUUUUAUUUAAAAAUAUAAUUUUAAAGAUUGUGCACAUACGUAAGUGUUGACGAAAAAAUCGAACACACCGGCCUGGGAGAUCUGCUUAGCUCCAGUGCAGGUCCAAAGAUUGAUGAGAUGCGAGCGUACCAGUCAGUUUGAUCCUGCAACUGACAAGAUAUGCAAAUAGUAGAUCAAAACAGCCGAUCGGCUAACAAGCCGAUGGAGUAGUUCCAGCCGAUAGCCGAUAAUAGCCGAUGCCGAUACCAGCCGAUAGCGAUAGGGUGUAAGAAAUCGGCUAUAUGUCCAAUGUAGAUAAUGAUAUGAAGGCAAUCGGCUGAUGAUAAUAUAAUAUAGCAAUAUAAUCCAGUAGAAACCAAUCGACUAACAAUAAUAUGAUAGAAUAAACACUUAUCCGAAGGUUAAAGCACACAUCGGCUGGAGGUCCGAUGCCAUAAAAUCCAAAUGAUUAGAUAAAACAGUGAAACAUUUGUUGUCAUCAGCUAAAUCCAACUUAUAUAUAUAUAUAUAUAUGCAAUCCUUAUAAGCCGAUGCAAUGUCUAGAUACCUCAUCGGCUAAAACCCCGAUGAAACCCUUAUUGGCAGUCAAAACGCAGCUAGAGAUUAUGGUUCUAAGCACCACUUAGUAGAUCAAACUUAACUGAUGCAGCACUAAGUAUGAAGAGAAACAUAAUAUCUAGACAAUAGACAAUCAAGCUAUUGACUGAGUUUUCAGGGUGGUAGAUGUCUAAGCUAAUAUAAUCUAGCAAAUCGAUUUAGCCGAUACCGGCAGAAGCCCUAAAACGAGAAGCAGCCGAUAGAGCUAAAUUGAUAUGCUAAGACUAGAUUAACAGAGACAUAUGAUAAAUAGGUAGGCAAAUAUAUUAUCCAAACCAGAGCAAUCCAAGAGGUCGAAUGUACUGAUGAAGCCUUGAACGACGCCGACGUAGACGAUACAAUUGCCUAGACCGGCGGAACAUUGGACUUAUCCCUUCGCCAGAGAUCGAAGACGAUGCAGCCCCGCGUCGGGUGCCAAGUUCCGCCGGAACGUAAAAACAAAAGUAGAAGUAAAAAGGGUGGCGAUACGCCGAAUUGUAUUGAUCGUAGCGAUAGAUUACAUAGACCCCGGGUGUACAUAUUUAUACCCAUGUGUUGAUACAUGUCCUUGUCGGACAAGAAAGAAACUUUCCUAAAGAUAAAAGGAAAAGAUAAAGUCCUUAUAGGACACUAAACACACUUUCCUAAAGAUAAAAGGAAACUAACAAACUAUUCCUAAUUAAUAGAUAACUUGCCAUGCCGCAUUCUCUUUGAACUCGGUCUCUUCUAGAUAAGCUUCCUUUAGUAGAUCAAUUUCCUUAACUGAAUAUAGCAAGAAUCCGACAACUGACGACUUGGCAACUCUCAUCGGCUAAUCUCAGGACUUCAAAGCCAAUGCUGACUCUAAGCCGAUGACUACUCCGGGCUUACCAAAUUUCACUGUUAACAGUAAGGAUAUAUGUUCUUUUGGCUUUAGUGUAUUUGCCGAUUGUGCACAUACGUAUAGGAGUAUGUACUUAUAUGUAUGUAUACAUAGGAAAUAUGUUCUUUCGGGUUUAUCCGUUUUUGGUUUUCUCAAAUCAUUUUUCGUACAUAUUGUGAGGCCCUGAAUGUACUAAAGAUGAUGUUCAAACUUAUCUGAAGAAAACAGGGAUUCCAGAGCUAGCUCAAUGGGAAUGAUGGAUAGCUAAGAUUUCCUGAUACCGCUUCGCUGUGUUGAUUACACAAAUCCAAGGGCUGAGAUGUGCCUGGACGGUCUACAGAGAGCUUUUCGCCAUACUGUAGUCGUCAUCAAGUUUGUCCUCUAGUUCUGGCGAACUCCAUAUAAGGCGCGACGCUAGCUAAUAUCAGUAUGCGAAAAUAUGAACCCUAGUUUUAUUCCCCUCUUUUGUUCUUGCGGCACACUCUAAAUAUAAUCCAAUUUCAGCUCUAUUUCAGCAUUUCCCAUAUUAAUUGUUGUGUUAGGGUACCUAAUUAGCUAGCUACCAGCCUAAAUUGUCUAAAUAUUUCUGUUUUUCGUGCAUAUUUCUUCAAGUUCCUAACAAAAGGUAUCAGAGCUCAGUCAAUCCUUGGCUUAACCUAUAGAUCUGGCAAUUCUAGGCUGGUAAGGGUUGGGGAAACAAGUAUUCCUUGUGAAAUUCCAUAGCCAGGCCAAUAAAUUAGAUCUAUGGGUGGAGGAAUCGAGCAGUACAGGGAGGAUUGGGGAAGGCUGUGGUUCUUCCCUGUGAAAUCUCCGAAUCUGUGCUAUUCAACAUGGCAAGGGGUGGGCGCACUGCUGAACCAGUGGAAGAAUGAGAAGCGCCGUUAUGGGAGGCGGCGGUGGAUCACUUGAAGCAGAAUAUGGAGGAAUUUCAAAAGAAAGUGGAAGAUGAGAACAAAAUGCUCCAUGAGAGGAUCCAGCUUCAAGUGAAGCAAACCCAGGACAACAAGGAAGAGGUUAUGCAGAGUCUCAAGGUGAUUCAAGAUAUGAUUGGUGCAAGUAUGAAUUGUGUGGGGGCAAGAAAUCAGAGAUACCUCUAGAUCUCCAGUAAAUGCACAAUCUGUUGCUCCCCAGGCCGAAAGGAUGAAGGUAAUUCAGCUAAAACUCCCAAGGCCCCCCUUUUCGAGGUCAGAAAUCUAAGUGCAAUACCCAUUUUGGAGAUGGGUGAAGGUUCAGUUCACUUCCCAACCCCCCCCAUGUGAGCCAUCACCCCACAAACACAUUCCCAAGUCCUGAAUGGAAUUCUUCAAUUUAUUCCAAUACACCAAGCAUACCACCCCCAUAGCCACCACCAAUUCCUCUCCUCCAACAUCCCUGCCACCACACCAAUUCCCACCUAUUCCAACCAUACCACCACCACCACCAAUAUUCCCGCCUAUUCCACCAACACCAACAGGGCGGCAGCUACAUAUGCAAUUUGGCUCCCCUGGCCCAUGGAACUAUACUCAAGGAGGACCUCCACCUAAUGCAUAUGCUUCCUGUCGACGAGUGAUACUCGCGGACCGAAUGAAUAGAGUAUUGGGGUACGUUGAAACAGGGGUCUACAUAGUACGACAUCAAAAUAGACAAAAGACAAGAAUUAUACUGGUUCAGGCCCCUUAACAGGUAAUAGCCCUAGUCCAGUUUAUAUGGGAUUGAUGAUGAUGAGAACAGAUUACAAAGAGAGUAAUCGAAACAGGCGAUACCGACGAGAUCGUAGUCAAGGGAUUCGACAAGAUCUCCCGGCGAGUUGGCUCCGUGGACUCUGGCUUCGUAAACUUUGGUGGGUGUGUUGGCGAUGAGAUGCGAUGCCCUUUGCCUCCCCCUAGGGGUCCCUUUUAUACUGUGGAAUACCUUGACCCCCAAGUAAGACUUGGAGUUAUGUAAACCGACGCGAUGAGUAGGACUUCGGCAAUUCCUUAACUCAUAGAAAUAUUUUCCAUAAUCUGAGGCAAAUUUCUAACGGCGUAUGUGGGAACCAACCUUAUACGUGAGGGUAUACAUUAUCAGUAUAUCUCAUAAGUCGUAGGAUAGAGAGUAUGCCUUAUUCGUAACCCUGACACUUCCCCUUACCCACCUUACCCACAAUACUAUUACCCACCCUACAAUCCCAAUUGGCUUCCAGCUCCUAAACAACAUCAACCACCUUGGCCUCUUUGUGAUCCAUCUAUUCUACUUGACAGAGGACCUUUUCAAGGCAAAGCAUUUGGUGAACCAUAUUGUCAUUGUGAACACACACUCCACCUCCAAUAGGAAACAUGUCGAUUUUCCUAUUUUCGAUGGUGAUUAUCCUAAGGCUUCGAUUCGCAAAGUAGAAAAAUACUUCUUUCUCACACAAACUCUUGAAGAUGAGAAGGUCUUAAUGGCAGAGGCCUACAUUACAGGCUAAGCUGACCAAUGGAUAUCUAGUUACGAUAUCCCAACAGAACAUUUAUCCUGGCCGGAGUUUUGUAAGAUGUGCCAGAGGUUUGGGGCCAAGUCCACAAUUGAAAUUACUGAUCAAUUCAGGAAUUUGAAGCAAUAUGGCUCAGUUGAUGCUUAUAUCGACAAAUUUAGAUAAGUAAUGGCAUUAGUAAAAAGAAACAGGCCAAAUCUCACAGAUAAUUACUUUUUGGAAUUACUUUUUUGGAUUAUAUUAAGAGACCACUCAAAUCUCUGAAUAUUCACUCCUUGGUGGAAGCUUAUGAACAUGCUUGGAAUUAUGAUGGAGCUACCAACCCUAACAAACCUCAACCAUCCUCCCAUACUACCUUGAAAGAGUUUCAAACCUCAAACCAAACCCCAAAUAGCCAAUGAUGCUCCACCUCAUGACGAGAAAACACAUGUUGUCUAUACAAGUAAAUGGGGAGGGAAGUGUUUUAAAUGUCAGGAACCUUAGGUCCAUGGUCAUGGUUGAGUUUGCAAGGCAACUAAGAUGAUAUAUCUUGUGACAAUGGAAGAUGACAUUUAGGCGUUGAAGAGAUACAAGAGCCUCCUUUUACCACACCUCCUGGCAGUCCUCAAGCCACUUAUGGUAAUACAUCUGCCUAGGAAUUAACUCUGCAUGAUUUGGCUGGGAAUAAUUCUGCUGCUACCACUUUCACAUUACACUUGUAUUUGGACAAGGUGCUUGCUACAGCACUUGUAGAUAGUGGCAGUUCUACCACAUUCAUUUCACCAAAAUUAGUUUCUGGAGCUAAUAUCCCUAUCCUCAGCCACUCCCCCCUCUCAGUAAAGGUUGCUAAUGGUGACACAUUGCAGACCAGUGCCAUCUGCCACAAUAUCUCUUAUACCAUCCAAAAUGAGCAAUUUGUCUCUUCCUUCAGGUUUUUGGAUAUGAAAGGUUAUGAUAUCAUUCUGGGUAGUGAUUGGAUUUUGGCCCAUAGUCCUCUCACUGUUGAUCUCAAAGCAAGAGAGUUGACAGUGUUCACUCCUUUAGGGAAAGCAAUCACAUUCUCAAAUGUCACAAUUCCCCCUGCCAAUUUUGUUAUCUCUGCUCAUGAAAUGGACAAGCUUCUAGUGCAUGACAGUAUUGGUGCACUUCUAUAUUGCAAGACCUUGCAGAGUACUGUGUAGCCUUGGGCUCAUACACCUUUAGAACUCCUUGCAGUUCUCCAAGACUUUCUUGAUGUAUUUGAGGAAGCUAACAAGUUACCCCCACACAGGGAGUGUGAUCAUACCAUUCCCUUGCUGCCACUAACUAAACCAAUUUCAGCCAGACCUUAUUGACUUCUUCACCACAAAAAAAUGCAUUGGAAGAUUUGGUUCAGCAACUCUUGGAUGCCCAGACUAUUCAACCAAGCAUGAGUAAUUAUUCUUCUCCUGCAAUUCUUGUCAAGUAAAAAGAUGGAACGUGGUGUUUGUGCAUUGAUUAUCGUCAAUUGAAUGCAGUCACAAUUAAGAACAAGUACCCUAUUGCAAUAAUUGAGGAUUUGCUGGAUGAAUUGCAAGGAGCUUGUUACUUCUCUAAAAUUGACCUUCGGUCUGGCUACCAUCAAAUCCGAAUGAAUCCUGCAGGCAUUCAUAAGACAGCUUUUAGCACUCACAUUGGCCAUUUUGAGUACUUGGUGAUGCCAUUUGGACUCACAAAUGCUCCAACCACAUUUCAAGCUUUGAUGAACAAAAUUUUGGCUCCACAUCUCAGAAAAUUCGUCUUAGUCUUUUUUUAUGACAUUCUAAUUUAUAGUAAGACCUUAUCUGAAUAUUUACAUCAUGUGAGACAAGUUCUUCAUAUUCUCAGAACUCAUAAUCUCUCAGCUAAACCAAGCAAGUGUGUAUUUGGUCACCAACAAGUGGAGUACUUAGGCUACAUCAUUACUUCUCAGGGGGUUGCUACUGAUACUGCCAAGAUAAAAGUUGUUCAGGAUUGGCCACUGUAGUAGUAGUAGUGAAUAAUAAUAAUAAUAAUAAUAAUAAUAAUAAUAAUAAUAAUAAUAAUAAUAAUAAUAAUAAUAGUAGUAGUAGUAGUAGUAGCAGUGGCAGCAGGGAACCGUACGAUACGUGGCAUUAAAUAUAUUCUAUUGUAUCUUUUGAAUUAUUUUGGAGAGGAAGACAGAUAAAUAUCGUUGAGUGUUGAUGAAAUGGAUAGGAUCGAACACUCCUGAGGUAAGGAAGAGAGAGGGUGAAACCUAUCCACCUCAUCAUGACUCUGGGACAGAUGUCCUCCUUAGACCAAAGGAAACUGCUCUAUGUAAAGCCCGUACUUAACCCUAUACCACUUGCACCAUCAGUAGAACUUUUCCUACUCUUGUUGUGGCGAGGGCCAUGGGAGAUUAGAGCUAGUAGAAGCCUUCUAGGUAAUGCCUGGAACCUGUGCUUUGGUUUUUUACGAGUAUAUGGCUAGUUCUAUAGGUAGUAUAAACACAUGAUGUCUAGCCAUAGAAUAGGUGGAUCAGUGUCUAGUAAAUGCACUAGAAGAAAAUAUAUAUAUUAGUGAAAAGACUAGUACUUUUAAUGGCUAGCAGCAGUUACAUGCAUGCUCGACUAACAUGCAAGCACCUGCUACUACAUGUUAGGUUCUCUUUCUUUAGUAUAGUCACAUCAACUAGCUACCUAGUAGUAUGUUAGUAGUUAUCAUGCAUGAAAAUCUAGAUAUUAAUUAAUAUCAAAGAUUUGCAUAUUUGACUAGGUGGGACGCGCUGGUAGAACGGCAGAAACUAGGCAAGACUGCGCCCAUCAACUAUUUUACUUAAUCAUCUCUAACUAAAUUUGCUUACCUGUAUUAUAUUGAGAUGGUGAUGCUAACAAUCUAACAGUAAAUAUUAUUCACCCGAAUAAUGGAUUGAUGAUUUUAUCAGUGAGAAUAAUAACGUGAUUGUGACACACUGAUACUUAGCCUGAGACAGUCGAUACCUGAAACAACGAUAUCGGGUCGGCUGAUAUCAGUGUGAGAUGAGAAAUGCCUCACACAAGUAGGGAAUUUGGCGGCGUGAUCUCAGACGAGGGUAUCACUACUUGCGGAAAAAAUGGAUUGAAGGAACGAGAUUGUGACGGUUAUUUUAAUACCUCUGCAGAAUGUAUUUAACUCACUAUGUUUAGUGUCUUUUACUAUUUAUCGGCUGUUAAUAUCUAUGGGUAGUAGUAUUUUUCUUUAAAAAUAUAUAUGUAGAUAUAUGUACUAAUCUUGCUGAGUAUGUACAACAUACUCAUAUAUUCUUACUAUUUGAUGUGCGCAGAAACUAGUCAAGAUGAGAUGUCAGAGGGAAAUGGUGACAUGCAGACCUAGUGGGGAGUGUGGUCUACUUAGUCUUUAGAGUCAUACAAGAGGACAUAUACCUGCAUGCUAGGUACAGGGAAUCGUCCUGGUGAUAAUAAGUUGGUCAGUAAACCAACCGAUGUAUUAAGAAAUGUAGCUGGUGAAAAAUAAAUGGAACCAUUACUGUAGGUGUCCAAGCUUCAGUUGUGAUAGUUAGACAUUACAUCUUGCCUUGUAUCCUUAUGGACAUAUAUAUAAGUAUUUAGUAUAUAUGCUAUAUAAGGAUACGGCAGACUGUAAAAAAAAUACAAUUUUUUGGGUCAUGACAGCCAGUUCCUGCUAAUGUCACACUGCUCAAAGGAUUUUUAGGUCUUGCGGACUACUACAGGAUCAGAUUUAUUAAGAAUUUUGGAGUUAUUUGCCGCCCACUCUUUGAUGCUCUUAAGAAGAACAAUUUAAUUGGGGUUCAUAACAGCAGGCUGCCUUUGAGCAAAUCAAACUUCAAUUGGCCCAAUCCCCAGUCUUGGCCAUGUCUGAUUUCUCACAACCUUUUGUAUUGGAGGCUGAUGCUAGUGGAUUUGUAAUUGCAGCAGUGUUAAUGCAAAAUGGUCGGCCCUUAGCAUAGGGUUGUUUCCAAGUACAAUUAAGCUUAGAAAUCACCUAGAACUUAAAGAAAUCCUGUAUCAAACAAGAAAAUACAAGAAAUAUCUAGAUUGGAUUUGAACUUUGUGCUGAAGGUCUGACCGCCUGGACACAUGAGGUCUAACUGGCCACACAAUGGCGGACCGACCGCUUUCACGGGAAAGACUCGGUAGUUUCCAAAUCUAAUGAGAAUUUGCUAUAAAUCCAAACAAAUGCUAAAUUUGAGUGUCAACCCAAUGUGGCAGCAUAUCUCCCUAAAAAUAUCACUUUUUUUCCUGGAUUGUUGUUCUUUUGUUCUGUUUUAUUUUCUAGUUUGAUUCAGUGAGAAGUAUCAAGUAUCGGGUGCUUUGUAUGUUUGGAUCGAUGGCUCUCAGACGAACGGGCGCUCUGCUGAUCUGUUCAUGAGCAAGCUAACACGAUUGGAUAUUUCCUUCUGCAUCCAUCCAAAUUACAAAGCGGAAAUAUUCUUUCCCCAUCAGUUUCUCUAGGUUUCACUUUUUUGGCCGAUUUGGUGUCCAUUGUUUCAAUCAUUUUCGCAUUUUUGCUGUAUGUCCGCUCUCCCUGCUGGUGCCCAAGCUAUCCCCGCUGCCGCGAGGAGGCGCAGGGAUUUGAGGCCAGCUGUGGAUGGAAGAGAUGAGAGAGAGACGUGUGGGAAUGAAGGAUGAAAAAUGGCAAUUUGAUCCACAAAUUUUAUAAAAUGGCUUGAACGUGUAUAGGUAAGUAGUGGCAUAUAACCAGUAACUGUGCAAGUAUAAUGAUAAUAUAAAUAGUUGAAUAUUAAUGGCAUAUUUUAAAACUAUGAAAGUUAUAAUGGCAUGGAUCCAAUGAACCCAUGAUUCUAUCCUCCUACCAAUGUUAAUUACUUUCUUUUGAAAUUAUAAUCCCCUUCAAGCCAUGUUGCUUAGCCUUCCUCAACAAUGUAGUUAUCUCAUUACAAAUUAACAUUCGCACCAAUAUCCAUCCUAAAUACCAUUAAGAAGACUUUUCAAACAAUGAUUUAAGACCCAAGAUCUUACUGAAGACAAGGUUUGAAGGUUACUGAAUAAAUCCCCAUCCUAGUAACCAAAUUCAUUUAUAAUUGAAACCACAUGGUAAUAAAUAGCCAAAAUGUUACGAAUUGUAUGUAUCUGAGCAAUACAUGCCUUGUUUAGUACUUUCAAGUAAUUUUCAGAGUAUUCUAGUAUGGCCAAAUGAUGUUUUUAUAGGCACUCAUACUCCAUACUUCUUUCAUUAGAAAAAUAGUUGUAUCUACGUUCGUAAUGGUAUCCAUAUCAAAUGGAAGAAAUGCUAAAUCACUAGGUUUAAAGGUAGAUGAAUAGGAAUAGGAAAUGAAAACCUUCACAGUUACUAUCUGACAACAGCAAUAUUGUGAGAUAACACCAGCAAUAAGAAUGAGAACUUCCGGUCCUAUUCAAGUUAUCAUAUAAAAUGAAAACUUGCAUUCCUGUUCAAGUUCACUCUUAUCUUAAAACUGCAAUAAAAUUUUAGAACACGACCGAUGAAUUCCUCCCUAGAUUACAAGAAAUAUUGAAGAACAAAGGAGAUGCAGAGAGUUUAUGAUAUAUAUGGGCAUCUAUUGCUGUGUCUUCUAUGUGAAGACUCACUGCAAGGUUAGUUGCACCUUAGACUGUAUUUAGUCAUGAAUUGUACUGUAUAUGUACUGUUUUCACCGAAAACUGUCCCCAUGUAUUUUUCAGAUUUUCUUUUCUCCUGUUUAUUUUCUUCUAUUCACUGUUUGUGUCCAUGUGGGUCAAGAUAUUUGAGGACAAUAAUUGUUAGGAUGAAUAGGAAUUGGAGGCCCCAGGAAAAUAUGUUGCUCCUAUCAAGUGGACAAAGGUGCAAUGUAACAUUCAUGUUGUUCACAUAAGGCGAAAGGGCGUUUUCAUUAGUUUAUGAAUUACCAUACAUAAAACCAAGAAUUGGAGAAUCAGUUGACAGUUCAACCUGUUUCACAAGUCAAGUUUGCAAGAUGUUCCAAUUAUGCAAGUAAUUACAGCAUGCAUGUGUGCAUGUGUCUCACAAGUAUACUAAAUGAUCAAUCAAACAAUCAACAGCUUAUUUUAUUUUACAUGAUAAAAAUUAGGUAUACUAAUAAUAAAAAGAUAAAUACAACAUAACUUAGAUAUGAUGGUAAAUUAUUUAUGUAAUUAAUUUAUAAUAUGUAAAAUGUGGAGUACUUUUGUUUUGCUCAUUUGAUAACCAUGGCAAACCCCAUCUUGAAAUUUUGGUUCCAUUCACCAUAUGGCAAGUCAAUACUACUAAUCAAGUUUUUGUUCUAUCUUGAGAAUUCUUCCUGGAGAAAUGUUGUUCUUUAUAUCCAAAAAGUACCCCUUGCUGACAAGAACAGCUUUCUAACAAAUCAAAAUGCACAUAAAUAAUUUUGUUGCCAUAUAUGUAGCCAACAUAAUGUAGCUAGGAAUCAUGGCUAGCCUCCCCAUGUCUUAAUCUCUCUCCAAGGGAAACUCUAACAAGCUUCCUUGGCCAUAAACACGGAUUCCACUAUCAAAAAAACAACUAAAAAACUUUUUUUAAUAUAUCUCCUUUAUUUUCAUUAAAGCAAAAACACCAUAAGUAAUUAAAAAUCAAUUUUCAGAUGGUCAUUUAAGUCAACCUGCAGCUGCAUUAAGACACCCACAUUACCACAUGUCAAAAUCAAGUUUUUUAAGCCAACUGUAUGUGAAAAUCGAUUUUAAUAUGUGGGUUGGCCAACCGCCUGUGAAAAUUCAUAUUUUCACAUACCUUGCUCCCAAGUGGUUCUCUUGGCUGUAUGUGACAACUACUUUUAGUUGUACAUGCACAUAUUAUGGAAUAGUGUUUAGAAUAAACUUCGGAGAUGACAAACAAACACUCUAAAUCACUUAAUUACCCAUUCCACUCAUGUUCUUAUGCUUUUUUUAAUAAUAGAAGCUUUAUUGAAACUCAAUCAAUUACAACAAAAUGAUACAAUCCAACUUAGCCCUCUCUUGAUCUCUACAUAAAAUACACAGCCAAACAAACCAACUAAAACCCCAUCCGAAACACAAAAGUAGAACAGAAACAUAAAAACUAGUGUCCCGAAGACUAGACUGUCAUACAUACUUCUAAGUAAAAAAAAAAACUCUCAUGCCACAUGGUCCAAUUGCCGUGAUACUACCGCAAUAGUGUCCCGAAGUUCCGAAUUAUGAAGCCCAUAUACAUUUUCACCGGGUAACUAAAGUAACAGCAUGCAAAGGAGAAGACACCAUCUUGUUCCUCCUUAGCCAAAUGAAUCAACAAAAAGCUAUUGCACUCAUCAAAAGUGAUUUCUCAUCUCUUUGAGGACCCAUAAGAGCCAACUUUAACAGUGUGAGGAGGUUUAUACAUGUUCUUUUAAUUUGCUUCCUCCAAAAAUGUCACUAAUAAGUUUUGUGAUUGGUUAAACGGGUACGUAUAAAUUAUAAGGGUUAAUUAGAUCCAUACCAUUAUAAAUUUGAAGGUUUUGAAAUAUGCCAUCGAUAUUCGUCUAUUUGAAAACAUGCCAUUACAAUUUCACAGAUAUUUGAGAGAUGCCACUACCUCUUCCAUGCACUUUCUAAAUUUUUUGGACCAAAUUAUCCCUUUCUUCCUCCUUCGUCCUCUCACCCUCUCUUCUGUUCAUAUUCUCAUACCUAGAUCUGGCUGGCCACCCGCGAUGGUGCGCUCCCAAUCUGACGCCAUUUCCAUCCUCCUCGUUCCAGUAUGACCGUAGUGCCCACACCUUCCAUCCUCCUGGUCACAAAGGCUUCUGAAAAAUUCAUCAGAGUUCUUUUCUUUUCCUACCAUGGUUUAAGUGAUGAUGGUCUCGAUAAAGUGUAGGGGCAAGAGUGGGGAGACGCGGAGCUUGUCACCGCCAGCCGAUGGCGGUGGCUAUGCCUUCCCACUUCAUCGGCCGCCGGCAAGUGGAAGGAGACUGCCGCCUCCUAGAGCAAGUGAGUGAGGGCAAGACCGUUCAGCUGCUAGACUGCUCUCCUUUCGGGUUCAGUCUCUGCAUCUUAGUCAGUUAAGUAUAGUUAACAGUGCAAUGCAAAAUUUAUGAUGCACUUUCUUUGGUUAGCCGAGAGUAUCACUGGCAUCGGCAUCAACUUGCUGAACUUGCAAGCUCUUAAGCUUCUCGUCAUCGAACUGCCGGUGUUGUGCGCCGUCGUCUGCUACUUGAUGGGGAUGAACAUUAGAGAAAAAGGAAGGGAAGGAAGGAGAGAGGGACAAUUUGGUCAACAAAAAUUAGAAAAUGAAUGAAAAGGGUAAAUAGUGGCAUAUCUCAAAUAUAUAUGAAAUUAUAAUGACAUGGUUUCAGAUAGGUGAAUAGUGAUGACAUAUUUCAAACCUUAAAAUUUGUAGUAGCAUGGAUCUAAUUAACCCAAAUUAUAAACUACAGAAAUCUUAUUCUAUUGGGUGCAUAUAUAUGCCUUAAUUUGGUCAAUUUGGAUUUGCCAAAAUGAUUCUUUUUAUAGAAUAGAAAAAACAUAAUCAAUUUCAUGUCUUAUUCUUGUAUAUCAGCUGGUUCCAUUUCCAAUCUAUUAUGCAGAGUGAGGACUAAGAUAUUAAGCUUACUGUGUAUAAGAUGGUGGGCUACUAAUAGUGAGCCUGGUUAACCAUUUUAAAUGGUGAGCUACUAAUAGGCUUCAUGUAUAAUAUGUUGUUUCAUGUCUCAUGCUUCUGCUUGGUACAUGCUUUACUUAUUUCAAGCCUCAUCGGUUGCCCAUGUUCUCUAAUAAACCAAAACGGAUUAAUAGGGAAUAAAAAUUAUUUUAUAGAUAAACUUUUAUAUAUUUGUUCGUAACGACUUAAAAGCUAAUACUACAAAAAAUUACAUUGAAAAAUAUCUUAAAAUCAAUGUCAAAAUUAAGUUCAAAAAUUUAAAUUUUGGUUUUUGUUUGGCUUAUUAGGCCAAUCGAUGAGGCUUUCAACUCAUAAGGGUUUUGUCUCCUCAUUGAUCUCAUUUGCUUAUUUCAUAUCAUAGGGAGUUGUUGUCUCUUGUUAAGACUUUUUUUUAACUUGAACUUUAUGGUUGUGUGCAUCCUCAGAUGCAAAGGCCGGUGAUAUAGUCAUGUUCCUAGUUUAAAAAGAACUGCGCACUUUGCUUGCCCCGCCCUCCCCCCAUGCCCAGUUGCAUAUCUCAAAAAUAAUGAACGUUCUAAACUUCCAUCUAAACACUGGUUCUUCCUCUAUUUGUUUCAUGCAUUAGCAGGAUAUUAUGAUGAUCGGAUGCUACCUUGGUUGCAUCUAAAAAUUAAGGAUUCUGGUUCAUGAAGGGAUGGAACAGAUUUUUGAAUUUUACUGGCAUGUUCAUCUUGGUCGUCAGGGGUUCCUUUUUCCAGUUUUGAGAGCUUAGUUGGUGGUUUUCUCUCGCAACUAUUUUGUUCCCUUAACAUUGGACGUGUUAUGGUGAUUCUCUUUGGUGUAAUUAAUUUCACUAGUUCCAACUAUUGUUCUUCUUUGGGAUAGAUAAGUCUUCAGCGCAGAUCAAUCAACUCAGACAAAAAAUCGAUAUUUGCAAAUACUCAAAACGAUCUUAUAUUUUCAUCGUUAGUUGUAGCAAAAGCGGACUAACAAAAUUUCCAUGAUGUUCUUACCGAAGAUGGUACCAAAAGAACAAAAAUGCGCCACAAGUAGCAGCUCCAAUUUAGUAACUACUAAUUCAUUCGCACAAAUUUCUUCAUUCUAUAUUAUAGCUAUUACAACUUCACGAUAUGCGCCACAAGUAGUUUCAGUAUUCACAUCAGCCCAUCUUAAUAGAUUCCCUUAACAACAUGCCAGGUAUCAUCUAGUAUAUUACAUCAACUAGAUCCUCUGUAGGCUACUUGUGGUUAGUAUGAUCAUCUUGUACUUUAGAAUGUUUUAUACCUUUGUUGGCUAUAAUUUGUGUUUUUUUACCUUUACCACAGGUUAUCGCUGUCGUUCUCUUGGUCGGAGUAGCUUUUGAAAUGGUGUUGACUCGAGUAGGUCUUAGGCGUUUAAGUGGACAAUGUUUAGCAAAUGGCCUAUAUCACAGUAGCGAAAGCAUACCAUGUUUUGCAUUUCCAUUUUUGACAAAGACUUUUUUGUGUAGCCAUACCACAUGCAGAGCAUGCAACUCUGGUUGGUACUGAUUCAUUGCCCCCCUUACAUUGGCAUUCAAGGCUACCAUCAUUUGCUUCUGUGAGCUUCUUAAUUGGAGUUACUGUCAUCAUAUUUGCUUCUAUUGUUACCUGGUUUACAACUUCUUGGUAAGCUUCUCGUUGGUGUUGAGUUACUGGGCCAAUGGGAUGUUAGUGAUGCAUUAUUAGAGACCCCAACUACAACUGGACCAGGUAAUGUAUAUUGUUAUGUACAUUUACGAUAAACAGUUUCACAAUUCAAUUGAAGUGAAGAUAAUGUACUUUUUUUCAACAGGAAGUGCGCCUCAACAGCACAUUCUCACACCUAGACGUCUCGAAUUUUCAAUGAUCAACAAUGUAGCUCAUUAUGAUUUUAAUGGACACACUAUAGUCCCUUUGAGCUGCAUAAUUCAAGGAUCAACACAGAACAAUAAUAAAACGAUUUUUGUUGCGGAGAAUUCAGGUACAUUCAAAUUUCAUGAUACGUAAAUGGAAUUUGUGUAAAUUUGUUAUAGUUAGUUGUUCUUACUAAUUUGGCCUUUUCUUUCCAUAUGCAUAGCGAUUGCUUCCUAACUUAACUAUGUUUUUUUGUUUAUUACUAUCUAGCUUGUGUAAGGUUCUUAAUUGCAUUACAUUAAAUUAUAUUUAUAUGUUUCUAUCAUUCUGUGCUGAAACUAAAAAUGAUAUUCAAGAAUUCGUGCCUAUUUUGAGUAUAAUGUGGGUAACAUAUAUUAGUUGUACCAUAAAGUCUGGUACAACAACUCUUUUCUGGAGUGAUCUUUGGAAUGAAAAUAUUAAAUGCCUACAAUACCAAUUUGUAUGCCUCAGCUUUAUACAAGAAUGAUUCAGUGAAGGCUAUGUGUUCAAGAGCCAUGGAGGACUUCUUCCUUCUCCCUCUUUCAGACCAAGCUUACAGUGAAUACCUUCAGUAAGAGAAUGAACUUGCUCACCUUCAAUUACAACAAGGGAAGGGAGACAUCUGGAGUUUUAUUUGGAAUUCUAACAUCUACACAUCCAAAAGGUUCUAUAAGCUCAAUUUCUCUGCACUCCAGAUACCUAGACCUUUUGUUUGGUUGUGGAAGAGUAAAUGUGUAAUGAAAGUUAAGGUCUUUGCAUGGCUUUUGUUAUAGGACAGGUCGAAUACAAGAGAUAUGUUGGACAGAAGGCAUUGUGCAAAAGAGGAUGAUGACUUAACAUGUGUUUCAUGUGAUACUAACCAAAGGAAACAAAGGAGCACCUAUUUUUCACCUGUCCUUUCAGUAUCCGAUGUUGGCAGUUCUUGGGAAUUUCUUGGAAACAUAACCUGGAGUUUUUUCAAAUGAUAGUUUUGGCAAGAUGGCGAUUUUCUCCAAGAGGUUUUCUGGAGAUCUUUUUCCUAGCCUCUUGGCACAUCUGGAAGUAGCGCAAAGGUCUCAUUUUCAGAAAUAUUCAGCCAUCUUUUCAGUCUUGGAAGACCCUCUUUGCAAAAGUUCUUCUGCAUCUCUGCAGAAUGAAUGAUCCACUCAAACAGACAGUAGCUGAUUGGUUACAAUCCUUCUUUUUUUGGCCUCUUUGUAUUUUAUAGCUUCUUUUUUUUGGCCUUUUUUUACACUGAUGGGCAAAUCCCUGGCAGUAAUUUAAGUAAAAAAACAUAUAUUAGUCGUAACGACCACACAAUCACUUCAGCCUAUGAAAAGUGCUAGAAAGACAAAACAGAAUUCACAAGUUCGUGCGCCACAAGCUCUUUCACAAUACCAGUUAGAAUCAAGACGUGCUCGGGAUAGGAAAGUAUGCAUCUAUAACACCAGAACAAAAGCAAGCUAGGCAUGCCCGUCAAAGAUCACGACGUCGGUAUAUGACAGCGGAACAAAAACCAGAGACGAACGAACGCCUUAUGGUUGCAAGGCAAAAUUUACCAGAUGUAGACAUUUUUUAUAUGAAUGCUCGUCAUAGAUCAAGACAACAGAAUGUUAUGCCUGGAGAAAGGAGUACUCAUCUAGCUCGGUGUAAUGCACGCUACGCAGCUAGGCGUGACAAACCAUGUGCGGAGUCCAUCGCAUUUGAGUGUCUCGACGGUUGUAACCCGUCAUUGCUAAAUCUGACAACUUGCUUGCAAACUUGCUUGCAAACAGUUGGUGAUGUGCCAGCUACAUCGACCUUGCAAUUCGAGUCGGCUGCAGAUCAUCAUGCACGAUCAUGCACUGAGGAUGAUGAUACCUUCUAUAAAUGUUUUUGCUCAUACACACAACUUUUAGCCUUCCGCCUACUAACUUUUUAUUCUACUAUAGAUGACUUGUAAUUUGCCCGUGCUAACGCUACGGUAAUAUUUUUUAAUGAAAACCACACAAUUACAAAAUAAUAUCUUUUGCACAAUCGUGAUAUAUAUAGCUAGAAUAAUAGAUAAAUUUGUUAAACAUAGCUAGAUAUGUAAUAUAACAUUGCAUAUAUCCUUUUAUGGGAUUUUGCUAUGCGAGCGAUUCAUACAGCGAUUAGGCCCUUUUUUUAGGCUGGCCGAAAAGUCUAAACCUAAACCUAAAGAAACCAUCAGCAUUUUUAUUUUGUUUUUCUAAAGCCAUAAACCAUCCUUACUGUUGAGGCAAAAGAGUUAGUUUUUUUCUUACGGGGAAUGGAGGUAGGACUCUACCGUUAAACUUAAGGCUAAAAAUUCACCAGCUUAUAAACCAUAUAAGCCAAAGCCAAAGCAAAAAGAACCUAAAUGACCAUGCUAAAUUUCCGUAUUAAGCGUAACAACCAACCGUGCCAUGUGAAAUUUACUCUAAAUCUAUUAUAUUUUAUUAACAUCAGCAUAAUAUUAUAGUCAAACUUGCAUCCUAAGGAAUUAAAAUAAUUCAAUUUUAGCCAAAUGGAGUAAUAAAUUUAAUCCGAUGGUUAAUCUCAAUCAAAGUAUAUGCACAAAAUAUAAAUUAAUUGAAUAUGGGUAGUCCUAUCUCUUUUCCAAAAGGAAAUGUCCUAAAAAUUUUUACAAAUACUUCCAGCUAAUCUUUUUUUCCCUCCAGAAUUUACCACCAAAAUUUCACAUCUAACAAUCAUGCUAAUUUAUCUUCACGUCUCCAACUCUACCAUACGUUCUCAGGCCCCACAUAUCUAAUCUGUCUCCACUCUCCAGCUUGUGUUCCCAGAUACCACAUAACCUAUCAACUUCUCUUUUUCUAAGAGGCUCCAAUAACUCCACCUGAGUAGUGCACCUAGAUCAUAUGCCGUGGUAAGCUUACCAACAUGAUGCAAUGGUGUUUUCCGAUGCCCAUGCUAACCGUACGGUGACGGUUGGUGUUUGGUAAUGCAAAUUAUUAAAAAAAUCAACAUAUAUGCAGUGGCAAUGUAUACUGAAAUACGUAUCAUUCUCGAAAUAUGUUUGACAAGUACUAUAUCAUUCCUCAUCACUUUCUCAUCCUAGACAACACCAAAGUAAAUUUAAAGUUCUCAAAUAAGUACAUAGUAAAACUGCUUCUUAUAAUGACAAAUUUUCUAGUUGAAGAGAAAAUAGGCGAGAAAAUCUUGCCCAUUGAACUCCCCGCUUAAUCUUGUUGUGAGGCAUCAUCUCGAGCGCCUGGUAGGCAGUGGUCUUUCCAUCUAUUCAAUGUCAUGGGUGGUCAGCGGAUCUAAGCGACUACGUCGGGGCUGCUUCAGGAAAGCAAGAUUAUAAAUUGAUGCGUAUUUCAUGGGGCCUUGAUUUUGCUUUCCCAGCAAAAAGAGUAAUGGACAGAUGGAAGGCAUGAGAUAUAUAUAAAAAGGCAAAAUUUAAACUGAGAAGCCUCUCGGUUUAGUGCUAACCAGCAACGAACCAAUUGUGAAAAGUACGGCUACACGUGCUAACGUGCAUGCUGUUAGCACUAUCCAGCUAGCACUCUCGGUGUAGUUGUGUCCAUUAGUGAAAGUACCUGUCGUCUCUGAUGGCGGAUAAUGUGCGAAAAUACGUUCACUUCUUUUCUAUAUAUCGUUGCUCAGAAUUCUUGCUAAUUAUUGAAAUACACAAUUGUUCAGAUAAUAUAUAUUUCCUGAUAUCGGUCAAAACACAUAUUCUUUACUUCUUUUCCCAAGUUGUGACUCCUCAUAGUACAAUAUCUAUAUACUUGAAGUUGCACGUUGUCCAGCUUUGCAUGAGUAAAUGCCAUCUUUGAAUGUCUGAGCAGUAAAUUUUUAUUGUGUGGAAUUGUUUUUUUUAUGGACACAACUACACCGAGAGUAUUAGCUGGAUAGUGCUAAAGAGAGACACCCUUCUUUCAAAAAAAAAGCUACUAGUACACUCAAUAUCUAUGUAUUUUUUCCUUCUUUGAGAAGUUUCUCUUAAAUUACUUAUCCGAUUUAUAAUCCGAUUACGCCAUUGUGUUCAUUGCAAUUAAAUCUUUACAACAAGAUCUCACAUGAUUAUAUUUUGAUGAAAAAUCACAAAUUACUUUUAUGAUAUGUCUAAAUUACUUUUAGAUUUCAUUUACUUCUUAAACAUAUAAAAGUAAAUUCAGUAAGUCUAAAAGUAAUUUAUAUAUAUUAUAGAAGUAACUUAGAACAAAACGAAGGUAACUUUGGCAUGUCAUUUGAAAUAAAUCCGUUGUAGAGAUAAAAACAUGACUUUAUCUAAAAAUUAAAUUAAUCAACACAAAUUAUUGACUUAACUAAAAAGUCAUAUUUUAUCCCUACAACGAAUUUACUUCUAAUAUUAUGACAAAGUUAUUUCCGUUUUGUAUUAAGUUUCUUUUAUAAUAUAUAUAAAUUACUUUUAGACUUUAUUGAAUUUACUUUUAUAUGUCUAAGAAGUAACUUAGUCAAAACUAAAAGUAACUUAUAUAUAUAUGAUAAAAGUAACUUACGUAUAUAAUAAAAGUAAUUUACAAAUAUAAAUAUUUUUUCAUCGUAAUAUAAUCAUGUAAGAUCUUGUUGUGAAGAUUUAAUUGUAACGAACACAAUGGUGUAAUCGCAUUGUAGAUCGGAUAAGUAAUUUGAGAUAAAACUUUAUAAGAAGGAAGAAAAAGACAUGCAUGUCAAAGAGGAAAAACAGCAUGCACGUCAGCACGUGUAGCCGUACUUUUCACAAUUAGUUCGUCGCUGGUUAGCACUAAACCGAGAGGCUUCUCGGUUUAGAUUUUGCCUUCACUAAGGUAGAGCUGAAUAAACUAUAUAGAAGUACUUCAGAAAUAAUCACCCUUAACCAGAAGAACUUGUAGGAGACUAUUGACAAUGCAAAAAAUUCCAUUUUCAUAGCAGUGUAACAGGUCUGGUUGUCAAUAUUUUCAAGAGUUAUAUGUUUGAAGAGCAUAUUUUGAAUUUCCCUUGUAAUGUGCCACACGUUAAUGGAAAAAGCCAUUCCAUUUAUCUUGCUUCUAAAAGUCUGGACUUUUUAAAUCAAUAAAUCAAUAGGGUCUAAUAUCUCAGCACAUAAUCAGCCUAGCAAAAACAAAACUCUGCUCAGUUAUCACAUCUAAGUUCUGAAGUCUGAACAUAUCUGUUCUCUCUGAAUUAGUCCUCUCAAUUCUGAACUUGUCCAUUUAUCUGAAGCACAGAUGGUUAUGACUGAUCUACUUGUUCGAAGUGUUACCUGCGGCUGGGCGAAUUUGCAUAGGUCGGCUAGCGAGAAGCUCUUCCUGCUGCAGCUCAGUUCAGUCUUCCCCAAGGACAGCAUGUAAUCACUGUAAAAACUGUGGCGAGGAAAACAGACACCACGCCCACCAGGUUCAGGACAGCUGGAGUGAAUUCCAGUCAGCAAUGUAUAGCAGCACACCUGAAAUAAAUCAUCGCAAGCCACAUGAAAUGCUGCUGCACAUUUGCUUCAUUCGACCAUUAGAUGAACAUGAGAUUGCAAAGGAUGAUAUUUCGUGUGCAAAAGAAUGCACAUGACAGCAUCGACAGUUUGCUUGUACAACCCAAGCACAUUAUCUUGUGCAACAUCAGAUCCUUGAGAGGCAAAGAAGCUCACCCUCCACAAAAGAACCUACAAUUCAAACCAUAAGUACAUUCAGAAGGAUCCCCAUGGUAAACAAUGUGCAAAACCCAAAACCAAUGUUUGCUGGUCAUACCCAAAGCAAACAGGCCACUGAAGAAAGAUUCAAUAUUACCAUGUUCAUAAAUAAAUUUCGCCUAUUAAUAACUGAAGUAGGACAAUUAUGCUAUAAUAUUUUCCUGAAGUGUGCAUUGCUCUAAAUUUUGCCAAUAUUGCGCUAAUUUCGGAGCAGUAGAAUUUGUUAUAUGCAGUAACUUUGAAUGAUUCGGGAAGGAGAAUAUUUUAUUGUCACACAGUUAUCAGGGUUCACUCUAUCGGUUGAGGCGUUUGUAUCAGGGGUCACCAAAAUUCCGAAAUUUGAAAUUUCGGAAAUUUUGAGUAAAAUUUAGUUGAAUUUGAACAAAUAUUACCCAAAUUCAUGAAAAAAUUGAAAAAGGGAAGAUGCUACAAGAAGAUGCUAGGUUGAUUUGUAUUUAUUCCAAAGGGAAAUUUUGCUACAGGACACUCGUUAUGUGUGGUUUUAGCCCAGGGACACCGCAAAAACGUGGCUUUGGGGAAAGACACGCUAUAAACGUGGAUAUUUGCCGAUGGACACUACGCCGUCUAACUGAAGCCUUCCGUGCUGACGUGGCGGUCGGGAGCCCUUUUUUUGCCUGGUCGGACCUAAAUGCCCCUGCGCUGGGCUGGGACGGCAAGGCGGCCGGCACGGCACGGCGUGGCCGGACGUCGGCGACCCGCGCGCCGUGCCGCGCUACCCGAGCGGCCUGAACCUGCAGCACAGCGUCGAGUACCACCACCACCACCUCCGGCAACCACCACCGCUGCCGCCGUCCAUUUUGGCGCAGAUCAACCACCUUGUGCCGUGCGCGUCGCCGUCUUCUGCUCCAGAGCGCCGUCGCCGGCUUCCUUCUCUGUUCCCGUCCAUCCGGUGGAUCUCAGGCCAAACCACUGCGCCAACGACAUCACCCAGGUCCAAGGAGAAAGACGCCCAAGAAGAUUGAAGCCAAGACGCCACCGAUGUGGAGAUCCCCUUCAUCCUCUCCAAGUCCGGCCGCCGACCUUCUUUGUCGAUUCCUCGCUCCCGGGUGAGUUUCGGCGCAAGUCCUCAUUCAUGAAGCAUCCUUUCUUGGCAGACCGGAGGCUGGAGGAGGCUGUCGCCGUCGCACCACCGUUUUCCACCGCCGCCGGGUCGCUCCACGCAUCGUCGUCGUCGCCCAAGCUUCGUCAGCGCACGCACGACCUUUAGUGAGUCUCUAGGAACCCUAUUGCCGCACAUCCAUGCACACAUUUUGCACAAAUCAAGCCGGAGCUCGACAUGCACAUGCAUACCGAGGUUCGCCGCCGCUUGUGCCACCGUCACCAUCGAUCCCGGCCACCUCAGUCCAUGAAACCACCACCAUUAGAUGCGCAAAAGACUCAGCUACGUUUUCUCUUUUGCUUGCAUUGCGAGAUCGGCCGCCGUUCACCGCCGACGCCGGCAAGAAUCCACCGCGACCACGCCACCUUCAAAAAAAGGUCACAGGGGCAUUUAGGUCCGACCAGGCAAAAAAAAAGGGGCUCCCGACCGCCACGUCAGCACGGCAGGCUUCAGUUAGACGGCGUAGUGUCCAUCGGCAAAUAUCCACGUUUAUAUCGUGUCUUUCCCCAAAGCCACGUUUUUGCGGUGUCCCUAAGCUAAAACCACAUAUAACAAGUGUCCUGUAGCAAAAUUUUCCUAUUCCAAAAGGGAAAAAUCACUUAUUAUCAACCAAACGAAGUCAUAGAAAACUCCUAAUAUAGUACAGUUCACUAUCAACUCCAUGGUGCAUUCAAUAGACCUGAACUAUCUUCUAUUUUUUGAAUGUGACAGAAUCAAAUUAGGAAAACACAAUUCUACUGUGAUCCAAGACAAGCUCAAUGAGAUACCUAGUCAUGCCGUGGUUUGUCAAGGGCAAACAACCAAAGCUAAAAAUUCAGCACACAAAUUUCCUAAACCAAGAACACAUACCAACGUCAAGCACCAGCUUUAACUGUUGGAGCAACCAGUCCAGCUACUCUAAUGACAGAAAGAUUAGAUAAUUCUGAACAAUGUGAACCCAAAUGGCAUGUAAUUCUGAACAUGUAUACAUUAGCACAACUUGGAAAGAUAAAAAAAUGAAUCGAUCGUUGGCUAUCUCAGGCUAGAUCAAGUCCUAAUAAUUUGUAGUCAUGGAUAUGAACGGGACGAAAACAUUAAUUUUAUUUGCAUAGUUUGUACUACGCUUUAACCAUUAGAAAAACAAACACCUUGGAUGAACUUGACAUACCUGACGACGGGAGGGCUUCCGGCGGGCGGGGAUCGGUGGCGGCGCCAGUGGUUGGGUGGAGCGCGCCGGAGACCUUCGGGACGGGGAGACGGCAGUUAGGGUUGGGAAUCGUGAGGGUGAGGAGAUGCGAGUGGCGGUGGUGCGAGACUGACCUGCGGGGAGACGCUGGCGAGGGCGAGCCGGUGGCCCGACGACAGCGAUGGGGAUCGGUGGCAGCGAGGAACAGCUCGGCGUGGAAGGCGUCGGCGGCGACGUGAAUCUUGGACGACGACGGAUGCAACAACGGCGAUGGGGAUCGGUUGAGGGCGAGCAAGCGGCGGGGAUCGGUGGCGGGGAGACAACGGAUGCGACGACGGCGGAGCGGCGGCAGUCAAGGGCGGCGACGGUGGUAGCGCGGGGAUCGGUGGCGGCGAGACGACGGAUGCGACGACGGCAGAGCGGCGGCAGUCGAGGGCGGCGGCGAUGGUGGUGGCGCCGCGUCCCACGUGAGAGGGAGAGAUUAGGGGGCGGCGGCGCGUGAGAGCGAGAGAGAGAGGGGGUGGAGAGGAGGGCGCAAUCGAGGGAGGUGAGAGGUGGUAGCGAUCUAGACCGUUGAGAUUUCACCGAGAUGAUCCUGACCGUUCCAUGAGUAAUGAAAGAAUGAGUGAUGAGUGAAACCAUUUGUUAAACUAUAGGGUAGAUAUGGAUUCCUUUGUGAAGGAUAAAACCGACAACCAAUACUACUUCCUCUGUUUCAUAUUAUAAGACUUUUUAGCAUUAUGUCUAGAUUCAUUAACAUGCAUAAGAACGUGGGCAAUGCUAGAAAGAACGGAGGGAGUACAUGUUUGCAAGGCUAGGCACCUUACUGAUGCAAACAAAUACAUAUUUUUCCUACUCUAACUCAUUUGUGCAAACAAAUCCUAGGCGACGAUGAGGAUGCCCAGAUGGUAGAAUCCGAUGACGAAGACAAGCAAGCACCGACCUCUUCCAUUCCUGAUAAGUUCAACUGUGUACAGCAACAUUCCACGUAGCACAAAUGUUCUAAAUCCUCAACUCCUCGCCCUGGAAACUUUAAUAUUUUUGUUUCAGUGGUAGAAUCAACUAUUGUCUCUGUUUUCCAGGUACGAUAAUAUAUUGUUAGUGCUUUGAUACUAGCACUCAGUCAGCCAAACAUCUUAAUGCGCUCAUAAAUGUAAUAUUGUUGAAUUGUGUUAUGCAUUAGGUCUGGGGCCGAAUUACUUAGUCUGUCGAUGCAAAUGGAUGGGGUAUUGCUUAUCACUUACCAGAGCACUGCAAAGUGCCCAAGUGGCUACGGCAGAGAGAACUGUAUGAUCACAGCUUAUACAUGUUCAAAUCUUUAGGUGGUGAUUUAUAAAGUUUUGCCUGAGCAUCAGUUUUACUAUUUUGAUCACAAUUUGCAACCUAUUCUCUUGGCACGGGAGUGCUUAUAUUAAAAAUAGGAACAAAGUAACUGCAUAUAUUUUCAAAUGGCUAGAGUUUUAUAUUUUUACUAGUGUUAGUGAUAUUCAUGAUAAAUAUUGGCUUGCAAACGUCAUCCCUUUGACUAUAAUUUGCGUCGUUUUUUACCUUCACCACCUGUUGUUGGUGUUGUUCUCUUGGUCAGAAUAGCUUUUGGAAUGGUUUUGUCUUGAGCAGGUGUCUGAUGUCUAAGUGGACAUCGAUUAGCAAAAUGGCCCAUCUCAUUGCAGCUGAAACAUACGACAUUUUUCGUUUUCGAUGAAGCCUUUCGUGUCUUUGACAUACACUUGGCUUUAUAGGAGGCUGCUUCACCUUGCUCACCACAAGCAGAGCAUGCAACUUUGGAUGCUGAUUCACUGCCCCUUUUACAUUGGUAUUGAAGGCUACUAUCAUCUACUUCUCUGAACUUCUUAACUGGAGUUACUAUUAUCUUAUUUGUUUCUCCUAUUACCUGUUGUAUAACUUCUUGGUAAGCUUCUCGUUGAUGUUGAGUCACAGUAGUGAGUAUUGAACUCAAGGGGCAUUUAAUUGGGACAUGAUCAUCACCUUCACAAAGGUAACAAGUGAGCUUGCUCAUGGGGCACUCUCCGAGUAGAUGGCUUUGUUCACAGCUAGAGCAGCUGAUUUCGUGCUCGCUGGCGCUGUGUCCAAUCUCCCCACAACGAGCACAUGCACAGUUUCUUGGCUUGUUCCGUGGGCACCACAUCAGCUCAUAGCGAUAGCCUUGGCUGCAGAGUGUGCAAACACCAUCCUUUGUGUGGUCCUUUGUUUUAAUAAACCCUGGAGAAACAUCCAUAUAGUGCAAAAUAGAAGAAAACUCAGCCCAACUGAUGGCUUGUGGGUCUUUAUCGGUUGCACAAUAACCUUUCCAACAUUCCAAUGCAGCUCCUUGUAACUGAUGAGCAGCAUAGAAUACUUUGUUCUUCUCAUCGCAUUGCACCAUAUCUAAUUUGUUUUCAAUGGUGCCAAGCCAUUGGUCAGUAUACCAAGAUGUGGCUGAUCCUGCAAAAGUGGGUGGCCUUGUUUUCAUGAACUCUGCAAACUUGUGACAAUAGCGUGUUGAUGUGGUCACAGUAUCUGGGGAUACGAUUUUGGCACUAUUGUCAAUCAUCUGUUGCUUCAUCAUAAUUUUUCUAGGGAGAAAUUGAUCAGAUUGUUGAACUGUCACUGGCUCACUGCAAGGACAGAAAGAUGGUUGCUAAUCACCGUUAACAUUCAGGUUGGAGUUGGUAAUAUAAUUGACUGCCAUGGGAUACCUCAACCUCACUGAUGCGGCUGCCAAUGCAACUCUUCACCAUCUGUUGAUCAUCCAAGGUUCUGUAGUUGAGAAACAAAGUAUGGAUAAGAGUGAGAUAAUUCUAUCGCUAUUUAAACUUUAAAACAAAAUAAACCAAACAGAAUCAGGAAGACUUGCCUGAUUCAGAACAAAAGAAAAUAAGGAAAAAUAUAUUAAAAUACAAUAUUAUGUUCUAAUGAUUUAAGGUUCCAAUGCAGCUAAACAAGCUUAUCCUUAUGACCACUCAAAAAUGCAUUUACUAAUCACUGAAAGUGGAUGCUGGUAAGAGCAAGUUCAAUAGUAGAGCUCACAACUAGCUAUAAGUUCAGGCAGUGUUUGGCAAAUGUCUAAGGGAAAUGAUUUCACACCCCUCUUUAAAUCCUAACCCUUCAUUCUCCCUCAUCCAUUUAAUCCUAACCCUUCAUUCAUUUCCCAAUCCCAAUCCCACCCCUCAUUUCCCAUUAUCCAAACACACCCUCAUUGUAGAGUCAACAUGUAUAAUAGGUUAGCUAUAUUAGCUGUAUUUUUUUCCUCCUCUCUCUUUCUUUUAUUAUGAAUUUAAUGCAUAUUUCUUGAAGCAUGUAUAUAGCUAGCUCUUGCAUGAGAGCCACCACUUCCCACUUUUUCUUUCUCUCUCUUCCACAAAAGCAUAGCUUGCUUAUAGCUAUCCUUUCUCUAAUACAUAAGGUCUCUUCAUUGCCUUACACUCUACUAAAGUCAAACUAAGGGAACAUAACUCCUUUGACCAUCUACAGAAGUUACAGGGUAGACAUGGUCCAAAUAAUAAUAUAUCACACUAAUGGUUGACUAAUAAGAUAAUAAUUCAAUCCAAUGUAAAAGAAGAACUGGAAAGAUGACAAAAGGAUCAUGGUAUCAGAACAAUUAAGUUUAAACUUUUUAAAAAUGCUUUGUAAAAUUGACAAUUAUAUGAAGGUCAAGACCUACAUAUGACAUUGUCUUGACUAAAAGUUUAGAAAAUUUGCGUUUUAUCUUCUUUUUUUCUUGUUCAGCAGUCCAGGACAUGAUAGUACAACCUCCCGAUACACAGCUUUUCAAAUCUCAAGGAUGUCCUAACACAAUGGGUUCACAGAUUACAGCAAGGAAAAUGACAGCAGUCUGCCAGCAAACAGUGGUGUGACGGUGGAAAAUCAGUCACCCUUGUGAUCAUGGAACAGAGACAAGACGGUCUAAAAGACUAAAUUAUUCAGGCAAAGUGGAGUUAGAAAUGGCUGACAAUGGGAAGCGGUGAUGACAACAUAGUUCUAUGCCAGAGUACCGACAAUAGGACAAGGACAUCCCUGUAACUAGGUUUGGGCGAUUCACACAUCUUGCAGUGGACAGAUUAGUGACAUCACAAAAUGAAUUGGCAUGAUGAUGAUACAUUAGUGACAGAGAUAAUAGAGAAACACUGUUCUAGGAAAUGGUGAUAUGCACUCCAAGUAUAAUACUCCCUAUAAUGAGGCUAAUGGCAAAGGUGGCUUUGGUUCCUAUCGGUAGUUAUGUGAAAAAACAAAUUUGGUUGAUAACUAUGAUUCUCAUGAUAGUGGAAUACAAACUGACAUGGAUGGUGUCUAGAGAAACUCAUCAAAGCAGCAAGGACAUGUUAGAGCAUGGCUUAAAGACAGACACGAAGUGAGUGAUGAACGAAUAAAUUGCAAUAAUAACUUAUCAUUGUGAGAGACAAACCAAGGUGAGCCAUUCAGAGUUACAAUUCACACAAGAGCAUGACGAUAAGUCCCCAUCCUGUAGGACUUCUCCAAGAGAGCAGUAUAGACAGGUUGACAUAUUGAUCUUCUAGUUGAACAAGCUCUUGAUUCAAAUAAUCCAAAACUGGGUAAAACUCGUUCCUCAACCUCUGAUAUCACUAGGUAGAACUCCAAAACCAUUAGAAAACAAAGGUCUACCUAGUUUUGGGAGUUGGGGGCGAGUUUUACCCAGUUUUAGAGCUGAGGCUGUGUUUUACUUUUAGAACAGGAUGUGUGGAGCGUUUAUAGAGAGAUUCUACAGGGCGGACUGGUCCAGGUCCACAGAAGAGUUAUUUGUGGAUAUUGUAGGAAGAGCUGGAUCAAAGAAAAAGGGUUUCCUGAUUAGUCUUUUUGGAGUCAUCUGUUCGAGCUUCUGAAAAAGUAGAAGUAACAUGGUCUUCCGGCAGCAAUUGGUAGGGAGUUGUCCUACGUCUACAAUUUGCACUUAUUUCUCCUUUUUGCAACACUGGCAAAUCCUGGCAAGGCCGGAGACAAAGCAAGACCAAUCAUCAAGAUGGUCGAGGUGGCAAAGUGAACCUAAGGUGUGUGCUGCUAAGAGAGACUCUGUGCACUGCUGCUAGAGCUGAAGUUGGUUGAUUGAUCUUGAAUUUGGGAGGAUCUAAUUAAGGUGUGUGAGUGUUCCGUUAGUUGUUCAGGUUACCAUGUUAAUAUUAAAGAAAACUGUCAGACAGGAGAGAUCUUGUUGCACCCUGGUCGUUUUGGGAAGUGGUGCCCCUAUAUGUGCGUGUUUUUGAAAGCUGGAAUCGCUUCUAUUUGACAUGAAGAGAUCAGAUGUAUUUUGGUCAAAGAUAGACUUUAAUCCUAUCACUUGUAUGAUUCAAGGGUAUUUUGUUCUCAAGUGCUUCAGAUGAGGCAACAAUCCAAAAACCAUAAGACCAGCAUUCACAACCACCUCAUUUUCAGCUGUAGAAGUUUCAGCAUAGCAAUUUUCUUCUCGAAUGCUUCAGGUGAGGCAACAAUCCACAAACCAUAAGACCACCAUUCACAACCACCUCACCUUCAGCAAUAGGAGUUUGAGCAUAGCAAAUUUAUGAGUGAUGAUUUGUCAUAUAAACAUUUAAGUGUGAGUGUGUAUCAUUGUGCAUAGUGUUCUCUACUAACAAAGAAUAUCAUCAAUCCAUGAAUACUAUACUUCUUAGACCUAGGUCAAUCAAAGAAUAUCAUUUUCAGUAUCAAGAAGAUUAUAAUUAAUGAUAACUUGAGCUCAUAACUAUCUGUCAUCUCAUCAAAAAAUAGAAUUACCAAAUCCGAAUAAUCCCA